rnacentral:lncRNA from 1 species
CCGGCCGUCUCGUCCUGCGCGAGCGCGAUGGCGAGCUGCGGCGGGAGCACGACGCUGUCCAUGGAUCGGAGGUAGGGCGACCACACCGACUGGUCCCGGUGGCCCUGGUAGGCGACGGGGAGGCGGGUGGGCACGGUGAUGGCCACGCCCUUGUACUGCGCGUACAUGUCCGUCUCGUCGUAGUAGACGCCGACGCGGUCGUUGGUGUUGCGCGCCGCCACCGUGGCCUGCAUGGUGGUGAAGAGGUAGGCGGAGGUGGGCGGGGUGACGUUGAGGCAGAGCACCGCCAGGUCCUGCAGGUAGAAGGUGGGCUUGUGGGGGCGGAGCACCAGGUAGACGAUGAGGAUGAUGAAGAGGGCGAGGAGGACGAGGGCGAGCAGCGCGCCGCAGCACUUGCGGUAGAGCCGGCGGCGGUGGCACUCGCAGCCGCCCUUGUGCCCGCCGCAGUCCUUCACCGCCAUGGAUUAUGGAUAUGGAUGGUGGUCGAGGGGGGAGCAGCAGCAGCGUGUAAUGGAUGGAUGGGUGCUGCAGCAAGAUGGAAGCAGGAAGCAGCUAGCAGCGAUGAAGCGAGGUGUGAGGCUGUGAUCGAUCUGUGGGAUGGGAGGAAGGUGGAGAAGAAAAGGCAGUUGGGCACGAGGUGGUAUAUAUACAUCUACCACGGCAGCGGCAGGAGGAAUUGGUGAUUGGUGUGGGGUUAGGAGGAGGAGGGGAUCAGCAUUGGUCAGUGUGAGGAGGAGUACUGACAAGUUGGGUGUUGUCGGCUUGGAGCAGCUGGUACAUACAACCUGCAAGUGGGCCUUGGUGAGCAGUCUCUUGCUGAAGAAGCACUGUUAAUUAGAAGUAGUGGAAUUGUAAGCCUGAUAAAACAUAAAUGAGAGGUGGUUAAUGGUGAUGAAAAAUGGAGCAGUGUGGGUGAGACGGCGAGUGCCAUGCUAGGUUCCGAAAGCAGCAAUGAAUAAUAGGCCGGGUUCAGACAGGGGAUCGAGUCAUCGAGAUGAGAAACGAAAAGAUGACACUUUUCUUUUCUAGUGAUGAUUAAUAGGCCGGGUUCAGACAGGGGACGCCUUUAGUUCCUCACAUAGUAUGUUACAAACAAAACUUUAUCAGUUCAGAUGCACCGCCAGUCGCUUGUAAACGCGUUUUGUGUCAGUCGCGUGAAAACAGCCGGAGGGAAGAAGAAGCUCGUCGGAGAAAGCCCUCUAGGUGUCUUAAGAUGGCAGGCACCUCCGUUGUCUAUCUUAAGGGUGCGGGGUGCAUGAUGCAAGCUCGUUGAAAAAUAAAAUGACCAUCGUCGAGGCGAGAGGGAUGGUCGGGGUGGCGGCAGCACGUACGACGGUGAGAGGCGGUUGAGGGGCUGGCGCAGGAGCCGAGCGCCCCAACUGCGGGUAGUGGUGGGUGGAGGGUGGGGCGUCCACAUCAAUCAAAUGGGAUGAAGCCAACACAAUCCCAACGGAAAGCUAAAGUGCAAGAAUAACAAGGAGGAGGAGAAGAAGAAUCGUAGCACGAACACGGGUCCGCGUCACCUUCGUUCCGUGUGCACGCAGCUGCAGCCAGCCAGCCCCACUCUCUUCUCCAUCUUCAUCACAAGAAAAAAAUGCGACGUACGCAACGCGGCACAGCACAUGCAUAGCAUGGUCCGAUCGAUCGAGCUACACCACCAUGGUCCACGGCCAAGAUCGACAUGCGUGCAUGCAUGCAUGCAUAUCGUCAGUACCACGUACCACGACGCGUCUAGCCUAGGAUAUGUUGCCAGAUCUGUCCUACGAGUUAAUUCCUCGUGUCGGACUAUUUCUAAUCUGAUACUCCUGCGUUAAGCUUAUAAAGAUUCCACUAACAGAUUACGUACGAAGCAAAAUAAAUGAAUCUAUAUUUUAAUAUAUGAUUAUGUACAUCCGUAUGUAAUUUGCUAAUGAAAACUUUAAAAGAAUUAUAUUUACAAACGGGUGAAGUAGAUCGAUCGAUCGUCCUAGUAGUACGAUUAGGAUAUAUCAACAUCAGUUCAUAAUCACCAUGCAAAUUUAUUUCCAAUCGUAUAUCACCGUGGUGAGAAAGCGGAGCAACAUACAGUAGUAUCGUUCAGAGCCGGCCGCGAGUUAUACUUAUUCCAUCUCUUCAUAUGCAUGCAUGUGCGAUCAUCAAAACAAUCGAGAGGAGGAGGACGACGACGAUACGCUAUAUAUGUAGGUACGUACGUCCGUCAGCCGAAUUCACGGACCAGAUCCAUUGGAAGGACGCGCAAAAGGUGUGGGGGUGGAGGGACGCGGUCACACGGAAUCGGAAGCUUCUCCUCUUUACACGUUUGUGCAUGCGAGUCGUCCGUCGCUCGUGCCAAAACAAGGGCACAUAUGCAAUGCCAGCUACUUGCAUGGUUCGAUUAGAAUACUCCUUAGAGCAUCUCCAACAGCGGCGCAAAAAGGCGUGCGCGCUAAACCGGUAUUUUACCGCGCGCGGGACAUAAUUGCGCGCUCCAGCGGCGACGGGAAAACCGCGCGCGCGGGAACCGCUAGCGCGCGCGCCAUUUUUCCGGCGCCGCGUCCCGCGCGUCCAUAAAAGGUAGCGCGCUGCCCUGCCUCUCGCGCCGCGUUCUCUCUCCCUCUGCCUCUCGCGCCGCCGCCGCGUUCUCUCUCCCUCUGCCUCUCGCGCCGCGCUCUCUCUGCCUCUCGCGCCAUCAUGCCGUCGCGCCGCCGUUCUGCAUCGGGCUACCGCGGCGUCCGCCAGCGCCCCAACAGCGGGUUCUACGCCGAGAUACGCUCCGGCGAUCUCCGGCUGAGCCUCGGCACCUACGACACGGCGCACGAGGCCGCCCGCGCGUUCGACGCGGCGACGUGGCGCCUAGGCAGGCAGCGCCUCCAGAUGAAUUUUCCGGACGUCCGCACGCUCCAGCAGGCGUUAGACCUGGCCCCGCCGCCUCGUCUAAACUCCGCACAAGACCGUGCGGAGCACACUGCGCUGCAGCGCCGUCUCCUCGUCGCCCAGGAGGACGAGCGGGUGAUGGCGGAGUGACGCCUACGCCACCCGGAGGACGUCGCCUACGAGCAGGAAUAUUGGGAACGACGCCGCGAGGAGGACACGCGCCGGCGCCGCGAGGAGCGCUUGGACAGGCCGACCUCGUCAAUGCAGGCGGAAGGUCCUUCUUCACUGAAGAAGAUGAGCGUUGGUUUGACAUCUGGCUGUCAACCUCUGACGACACCAACGACGAUGAUGAUGGUGCAGAUGACUGGAGCGAUUAGGAGUUUUUUUGUUUUCGAAUUAUCUAGCACCGAAUUAUCUAUCUAUGUUUUCAAACUACCUAUCUAGUUGCAAUAUAUGUAAAAUAACUUUAUAUCGUUUUUAUUUUAAUGGAAUCUACUUUACGAAAUGUUGUGCGCGCGUUGUAUUUUUUGGCACUGCUGGAGCGGCGCGCGCGCUGCAUUAUAGCGCGGUUGUUGGAGCCAGCGCCUAUCCCUGCGUUAAAUCAGCCGGCGCGCGUGCUGUAAAUAUAUUUUUUAAGCGCGGCGUGAAGCGCGGCUAUUGGAGAUGCUCCUCGCUACCUAGAAGCGGCUAGAGGCACCGGUCAUGGUUGUUGGCAGAUGCAUGGUCGACUAGUCCAAGUUUGAGGACAACUCAGAGAGAGAAACAGAGAAGGAAGCUAGCCAGCCCAGCCAUGUUAAUCAAGGACGGACGUCUCCUGAUUCCUACCGCCAUUAUAUUCAGCCGGCUCCAUGCGGAAGCACAUGCAACGAUGCAAAAUAGCGCAAGCAGAGCAGGCCAGCAGCCACAUAUGUACACGGAAUGCACAAGCAAUCAUCAAAGAUAUAGGUUGCCUAGAAAAAACAUCAUAUUUUUUUAGGGGUUUACAAAAUAAAUAAAAACAUCGAUCCUGUGUUGGACGUUUUACAACGGACUAAUCCGUACAGAAUAGGGGCCGGCAAAGUUGGUGCAGCAACCGUGCAUGUGAGCCUAUGACUGACUCAUGUUCGGUCUCAUCGCAUGAUGAUGGCCCAACCGAUCGGUCACGUGGAUGGAAAUGAAAUACAAUAUAUAGCUUUUGGUUAAACUUGCAAAAGAGCCCGUGCAUUGUAUUGUAAGAGAAAAUAACACACGCUCUGAACGUAAUAUAUUUUCACAUGGCAUCAUAUUUGUGUUGUCGACGAUGGCUUUAGUGCUCACACAAUGAAAGCGUGUUUGAAUAUACAGUCAUUCGGAAUAAGAUGAGAAAUAUGUUGUUUCUUCCCGCGAGGUUUUCCAAAGGUGUGCAUGUGUUGUUAAUGAUGUUUUCUUUUCUCUUAAUUUGGUUUUAGUUUAAUGGAUGUUUAUUGCAAUUCAUAUCGUCGCCGGAAAGAGAGAGAAAAAAAGAACCGUACACUACAAAUUAAGUUUGCACCAAAUAUAAUAUUUAAGAACUAUUCAACACCUAAAAAUAACAUCCUAUUUAGAUUCUAUACAUUUUUUAAUCAAAUUUCAUAUAUAACAUAUUAAAAUCGGAGUUAUGGUUUAAAAGAUAUGGAUAAUUUUAUUUUACGUAAAAUGUGGAUUGAUUAACUGAAAAAUUAAGGUUUUUUUGUUAAAAUACGGAGGGCGGGUUGAUUACCUGAAACAUCAGGUUUUUUGGAAAAAUGCAAAAAAAGAUUCAUUUUCGAACUUAAAUCCGGACUGCAGGUUGAUUACCUGAAACAUCAUAGGGUUUUUUGGAAAAUGCAAAAAAAGUUUCGUUUUUGGACUCAAAAACGGACUGCGGAUUGAAUACUGAAAAAGCGAGGGAUGUUUUUGCAAAAUGACCACGACGGCCGACAGAAGCGUUGCGUGCUUUAUUAUUAGGGAGAGAAGAGUGCAUGGUGUUCCGCCGACGGUCCUCCUCGACACCAUAGCGAGGCAGAGCAUGCCAGCAGCCACAUAUGUACACGGAAUGCACAAGCAAGCAAUGGCGGAGCGUUCUGGGGACAAUUCCGGGCUGGCCCGAGUGCGGACUUUUGGUGCUCGAUCAUCAUGGUGGGGGGUAUUUUUAAAAUAUCAAAAGGCCCAUUCAAAAGUUAAAAAAAGGAAAUCAAAAGAAAAUCAUGGAAACAUAUAUGUGUUCCGCAUGAACGUAUGAAAAUUUGAUUGAAAAAGUUGUGAUUUAUAGGCUGUACAAAAAAACCAAUUUCCGGCCCCAUAACAUAAUAUCCUGGCCCAUUUCAAAAUACGUUUUUUUUCUCUUUGUGUGUAUGCCACGUAUGAAAACAUGAUGUUAUGAAAUUUGCAUAUACGCCAUAUACAUGUGUAUGUGUGUUCAUAAGAAAAAAUAAAAUAAAAAUCACAUUGUGGAAAAUUGUGUUUUGAAACCGUCCACCAUGGUGAUCGGUCACCAUUGGCAUUUUUGGGCCUUGCCUCCCCCCCCCUUCCUAGAAGAAAUUAUGCUAAAUAAGGAUAUGCUUCACUAAUCGCUCUACUAAUCCUUCAACCUCUCCGAUCAUCCUAGCCUUUUCUAUGUAAUAUUCACUUAUUUGCCCCUCCUUAUAUUUGGUUUACGCUUCGUCACUGCAAGCAAGCACCAUAUAUUGGAGCUUCACAUGGUAUUCCAUUAGAAGAGUGCUCAAGAUAUAGGAAACUAGAGAAAAAAGAGGUUUGGACGAACUAAGAGGAGAAGAAAAAAAAAUCAAAAACUCGAGCUCGAGAAACAAACCGAAGGCCUCCUCGCCAAUAUGAAAGGAGGCCAAGCUUUGGUAACCGUGGGUGCUAGAAAAUUGGGCCAUCUAAUGCAUGCCCCGAGAAUAGAUGAUCGCUUUUAUCUUGGGUGUUGCUGCGUUCUUUGUGUUGUAACAUUAAUUAAAUCUCUAUUAAUCUUCUAUUUAAUGAGUGGUGAAAAUCUUUUGCCUCUUUUUUAGAAAAAAUAAUAUAGAAAGGGAAUGCAAACCAAUACGUUUUAGGAGAAGGAAACUUUUUAUUUAAUACAGACAAUAAAAACGAUAUGUUAGCCGAUAUAAAGGACCUUGCAUGACACGAAAGACAUGCAACCCAUCGCAUCGACAAGCAAUCGUUGAUGAGAACCACCCACAACGGAAAGAACUUCACUGUAGUAAGAACCCAUCAAAGUUGACACGAGAACUCCACCGUGUGAAUCCACCUCGACAUUUUGAAGCAACUUGAACCAUCCAAGUUGACCGGGAUAUAACAAUAAUGAAUGAAACCUUAGCUGCAAUGGCAAAGUACUUGGAUCAGCGAGAAUUAUGUCGAUGAAGAAGAAAACUACCGCUCGCUGUCAUCACGAAUGGAGAAGAACAGUGUUUGCCUUGCAAAAGAACCAUCACGUCAAAUGAUCGAAAUGAAGAUUCGACUCAAAAAGACACCGCUCCCCCCCCCACCAGUGCCAAACAACUCACUGCCUAAACUACCUCCUAGCCGGACGACUUAUUCAACUAUCUCCUCUAGAUAUCAAAACCUAUAGAUUUACGCCACUCGGUCCUAGAUAUAUAAUCCCCCAUGGUCACACGACACCAUAGAGGGGCAGUAAUGCUACACGUAUGGAGUUUUUACAAAAGAUUUACACAUUGCUUAUCACUGAUUGGUCGGGAAUUGAUUAAGGCACACGGGCUCACCGCUGAAAUUCAGGGGGGGGGGGGGCAAUUAAAAGAGCUUACAGUACCCAGCCCGUAAAAUCCUGUAGAAUUUGUCCGUAUGUUAAGCAUUCUUGCCAUACAGGGAGAGGAAGAACCAAAACGCUAAUCGUUGCAACUCUCAACUACCUCUCUCGGUGUGUUAAAAAAAACCACCUCUCUCAGUCCAGAACCAGAACCUUUGUUUCUCAUGAGAAACUAGUGUACUUUUGUUUUCUAAUUAACAUCGUAUUUUUAUAGGAGCUUAGUUUUUGUUGAACCAUAAUUCUUACAUGGGUUUGCACAGUUACAUGUCCAUAUAAGGGCCCAAGCUACUCAGUGGCCUACGGGGCCACAUCAAAGCAUUUAUAUCUCGUAAAUUCCAGUCUGAUUGUUCUCUUUAUUGGCCUAUUCUACUGAACUUCUCAUCAAUAAUUGCAUUUAGAUUGGGCUUAACAGCCCAUUCAUACCGUGCGAGAUAUGUCUCGCUUACUGCAAGACGUAGCUCUGAAUCGCCUUUAGUGCGCCGUUGUACUGGGCUGACACAUUACAAUACUUGCUGCACUAUGUUUUUUCUCUGUGUGGUUUUCUUAUUGGUCUUUCAAUAUUUUCAUCAGGUUUCUUCUUUUUUCCUUUUUUUGUUCCCUACUUUCUUCGGUUUUACCGGGUUUCUUCGGUUUGUUUCCUUUUCCCUUUUGGUUUAAUUUUGUAAACACAUGUGUACAUUUUUAAUACACAUUGUACAUUUUUCAUAUACAUUGGGAAUAUAUUUAUACACGUUAUCAUUUUAAAAUACAUAUUUAACCAUUUUUUAAAAUAUAUCUUUGGUUUCUAAGUUUUUUAAUGAUACAAAACAUUUUUUUAAACUACACGAACAUUUUGAAAUGAUCCAAAGUAUUUUUUUUUGAAUUAAAGAAACUUAUUUUACAUUGUAUAAAAAAUUUAAAGUGUUGCAUACCUUUUUUGAAACAUGUGCACAUUUUGUAAAUUUCACUUUUUUAAGCUACUAGCAGUUUGAUAAAAUUAUUAAUCCCUACCCAAAUUAAUUGGCAAUGCCUUAGUACAUUUUCAAUCGGAGUGAGUAACCAAUUUAUUACACUGUAUUGUAAUUUCCCAAAAACAUUACUUUUAAAAUUAUUUUGAUUAUAUUUAAGGUUUGGAAAAUAAAUAUUUACAAUAUUCCGAAAAUAUGAAGUAAAUAAAAGAAAAUCAAGCGAAAACACAGAGGAGGAAAACGAGUUGACCUUCAUGGAGCUACUGGGAUGAUCCAUUAGUGGUGAUGCUGAAGCGUGAAAAGCUCGUGUCUCAGUCCGGGCGAGACACAGCCGCUCCCCAUUUCUAAAAUCAAGAGCAUUCUUUCUCUGCCUUGGACCAUGUGUACUCUCUAACUUUGUUGAAGCCCCGGCCCGUCAAAAGUAAGCAGUCGUCGCAUCUACAUAAAAAAAAGGCAAAUUGUCUUCUCGAGCCAUUUUUAUGCGACCUGGGUCACACAUAGGGCUGCAAGAAGAGCUCAAGGUUCGUGAGCUGGUUGAGUUUGAUUCGUCUUUUGGCUCGACUCGAGAUUGAAAGAAAUGAGCUGCGCAUGAACACUUUAUAUGGCUCGAUUGACAAACGAGCCGAUCUUGAGCUAAUAUUGGCUCGAGUGAUUUUAGCUUGAUAGAUCGAGGUAAUAUAACUAUGUUAAAUGAUCAUGCUAUAUAUUAAAUGGAAAUAAAAUAUUUUAUAACCAUAUAUGAUGUUUUGGAAAAAAAAAUUAUCAGCAAACAUGAAAGUUUAAUUAAGUGCAGAGAAAAUUUAGGCAAUACUAUGGUACAUGAUCAGCUAGGCAUGAAUAUCCUAUUGUUUUUGUCAAAAGUUUCCCAGCAUAUUCACCUUCAUUUUAUGUCUUUCAUCCUAGAUGAGCUCUCCUAAGCACGACGAGAUGGCCGUACCAUCGAUCCAAGUAAGCUUUUUUUACACAUUCACGUCAUCUAAUUAGUAUUAUAGUUUAUAAAUAAAUGAAUGCUAUCUGAAUACGUUUUCUUUUCAAGAUUUGUGUUAUAGUAGGCUGUUUACGUGUAAAAUACUCUUGGACCAGGUGCAAGUUGUAUCUACGAGAUUCUUUCUUGGUUUUACUCUAAGUAAUUUUGUGGUUUUGCAGUUAGCGCAGAUUGAGGUUUGUUCAUUUCAACAUAAUUUUUUAACCAUAAUGUCAUGUUUGAAAUGAUAAACCUAUGUCUACAGAAUCAAGGAUUCAGAUUUAGUGCAUCCUAUAUAUGUGAUUCAGAUUACUAACAUGUUUUUUCAUAGAUAUUUAGUCUUACAUGUAUCACUUUCGAAACGUUUUCCUGUAGAUUCAGAGUGGUAUUAACAGGAACAACUUAUCACUGAUACUUUUCACCUUAAUAGUCAUUCACAAAUGCCUAAUACCUCUGAAUCUCAGAUCCUUUGUAUAAAUUUAUAUUAUCAUCAUCUUGAUUGAAAUAACAUUUUUUAGUGCUUUCUUAUGUCAUAUCUUAGAUUAUAUAUUUUUUGCCGUCUCAUUUAGCUUGAAACUAGCUCGAGAUCAACUCAAGAUCGUUACAAGCUGAGUAAGUUUUACAGAUCGGUCUUGAGUUUCACUCAAUUCGAGUUUGCUUGCAUUUUAAUAUGAGUUGAGCCGAGCCAAGUCCAACACGCUCGAAAUCGACUCAUUUGCAGCCCUACUCACACGCAGCGAUGGCGGGGAGCUCCUAUUGGACGACACUCUUUGCCUCACGGUGUCCAAGUUUCCCACAGAGCUAGCGAUCGAGAGCUUCUGGUGGGCCGGCACGUAAACACAUAGGAGCGCUUCUGGUUUUAGGAACCUUCCAUACAUUUUCCACCCGGUUUUACUUAGUUUCCUGAAUCGGGUUUUUUCUUUUCUUUUUCUGUUAUUUUUUUCGUUUUUCUUUUUCUGUUUAUGUUUUUUCUUUUUUUCCUUUCAAUGUUUUCCCUAUCUGUUCUGUUCGAAAAUUUCAAAUAUUUUUUGAAAGUUUUAAAUAUAUUUCUCGCCCUAAAUUUUUAUUCACAAUUUUUAAGAUAUUAAGGCUUGAAAAUACCUGCAGGAAUUUCAAAACUAAUUCUAGUUUUCAUAAUUUUUUCAAAAUUUCUAAAAAUGUUCUCAUUUUUAAGUUGUGUAGAUAAUUUUCAAAAUUGAUCGUGUUUCAGAAAAUUUCGACACUUUUAGAAACAAUUCCUGUUUUCAAAUUGUUUCACAAUUCCAGGAAAAUGUUCGUGUUUCAAAAAAAUGUUCAUGUCUAAAACAUGUUCAGGAACUUUCGUAAAUUUUAAAAAAAUGAAGUUGAAAACUGUUUGGAACAUUGUUUGUCUUUCCUAAAAAAUUUCGCGUUCACAAAAUGGUUGGAAUGUUUUUUAUAAAUUUCACCAUUUUAUUUAAAAUUGUUCAUAUUUUCAAAAAAUUGUUCAUAUUUUCAUUUUUCAGGAACUUUGAAUAUGCUAAAUGUUUUCUGAUCAAGUGAAAAUUUCACAGAACUCCAAUUUACGAGCAAAGUUUGAUAACGGGAACAUUUUGUAAAAGCAAAAACAUUUUACGAAAUUUAAGAACUGUUUUCCAACAUGAACUUAUUUUAAAGAUAGAACAAAUUUUGAUAUUUCAAACAUUUUUCUAAAAUUGCAAACAAUUUCCGUAAAACUUGAACACAAUUUUGAACUUUGACGGUAUUUUGAAAAGCUAAACAAAUUUUAACAAUUUCCAAUAAAUUCGGGAAUUUUAGAUCAAUUUUCAAAUAUGUUGAACAAUUUUCAUUUUUUUGGAGUUUUUCCUACAAAAAUAAAAUAAAAAAUUCAAAAUUUGUGAAAAUUCCUGAAAUUCUGUUGAAUUAGUGAAAACAUGGCUUUAUUUAUUCGUGAACAUAUUUGCAAAGUGAAAACAGAACAUUUUUAAAAUAUUUGAACAAUAAUUCAAAGGCAUACAUUUGUUUAGAUCCCAGAAAGAUUUUGUUAUUUUGAGAAUAAAUUUUCAAAACAUGAACAUUUUUUGAAUUCGCAAACGAAUUUGAAAAGUGGGUAGAUCUUUUGAAAUUCCCAAACAUUUUCUGAAUUUAUGAACAAAAAUUAAAAUGCAAACAUUUUUUAAAUUUGAAAUUCUAAAUUUUUUGAAUUUUCCAAUAGUUCUUCUAUGUUAGAAAAGAUGUAUUUCAAAUUCUAAUUUCUUUGGAAAAUUUUUACAAUAUUUCAAAACGGGAAUACUUUCAAAAAAAUGAACAAAGUUCUUAAAUUGCCAACAUUUUUUAGAAAUUCUAAAGAUUUGUUGAAAAAUAAAAGUGAAAAUGAAAUUUACAAGGAAGGCAAAGAAAAACGAAACAACAAAAAUAAAAGUGAAAAAGUAAAGAAAACGAAAAAGGAUAGAAAAGAAAAAAGAGAAAUAAACAUAAAAAGAGAUAAAAACCGGCUCGCUGGAACUGGGCUGGCCCAUCUAUCAUAGUUACCAUCCUGGUCCUAUGCGAAUCGCCGACAACUCGUCGCAACAAGCAGCGAAAAGGGUUUUUCAUGAUUAUAAAAACCGCUCCAUGGGAAACCACAUGCAACGAUGCAAAUAUAUAGCUCUAUUAAUCAGAACCAGCAGCUACUACAUGGAAUGCACAACCAAGCAUCAUGAUAGACGUUUUCAAACUGACUAAUAAUAUACACCCUCCGUCUCGUAAUAUAAGAGCAUUUUUUACACUACACUGGUAUAAAAAUUGUUCUUAUAUUAUGGGACAUCUAUACUCCUAUAUAGUGUACCAGUACUGGGAGAUGUAGACCGUUGGAUCUUUGUAAUCUAACGGCUCGCCGUCAAUUGAUUAACAUAGAGGGCUGCGUGGCCAUACAUCGACAGUUGGAUAGACUAAUCUAACGGCUGACAGUGCAGGGAUUCGCGGUGUGGCACAUCCUUUGCUUCCAGACUACCACCAUUUGUGUGUGACAAAGCUACAUGAAAGUUCAUGAUACUGCCACUGCCACCUAGAAAUCUUUGGUAGGCUCCAGUAAGAAUGCUGCACUGCUGCCCUACAUGCUACAAUACUACUACUAGCAAGCUAUUCCACCAGGACCAAGUACUCCGAGAGUACUACAACUGCUACACGUGAUGAGAGAUGGGGAAAAGUGCAUGCAGCACUGCAGUCUUAGCGAUGCAGAAAUUAGUAAAUCAUCAGAUGCUUAAUACUACCUAUUCAUUAGCUUAUUUUUUCAUCUAACAAAGUCCAUACACGUGCACACGUACAAUUCAUAGGUUUGUCUGGUUAUGGAUAACAAACACAAGGAAAAAUAAAAGUUUAAUAUCUCACGUGAAAAAAAGAUAGUUAAGCGUAAUAUGUGUUGUAAUUAAAGGCUAUUACUUUAUUUUAUUAUAAAUUCGUUUUACAAAUAUGAUCCAGGUUUUUUCAUUGUUUCAACCAGUAAUCGUUAAAUCCACGUGCUACUAAUAGUGAGUAAUAGACAAGUUAAUUGGAAGAUCCGUAAAGAAUAGGAGCCAACAAUAUAUUUUUUCGAACAUCGGGGACUUUCUCUUUAAUUAAUAACCAUAUCUUUUAUAAUAAGUGGAAUCAUGAAAUCAGGGGUUUAUCAUGCCGCACCCUUGACUCCUGACCCAAAAAACUAAAACAAGCAAUAGCAUACGCACACUCGUUUACAUCAUGCACACAACGAUUUAUUGACGCCUUGCCAAAAGAACAUGUGAAACUUCAACAAUCAUCAGUAAUUACCGCACCUAACGCUCGAUAGUCGUCCAACAACCAUGCAUGUGAGCAUGUAACACCUGUUCGGGCUAAUUGCACGGUGAUGGCUGCGAACCGAUCAUGUGGACUAGCAAGAGAAUGUAAAGUAGGAAUUUCAUUAGUCAAGGAAACUACAACUAUUUGAAAUGACACAGAAACCUUUUUCGGGAACAUAAGAAAAUGCCUUGUUUAGAUAGAACAGUACAACUAUAAUUUUACAAAAAGAAUCUUGCAAGAUAGAAAAAACACAACCCCUUACUCCAACAAGUUGUUGUCAUCGAGCCUGCAUCGUAAAGAACGCCGUCCCAAUAAGGAAUCAUCAACGCUGCCAUGAAGACUCGACCAAGGGAUCCUCCUCGAGGAUACUAAAGCCUCUUGACCCAUAUGAUGAUAGUGCCAUAGCCCAUGGAUUAUCUUCCAGCGCACCCGCCAGAUUGCCCAUAGGGUAUCAACUAUUUUCGUGAAACCAACAUGCACUAGAUUCUCCAUCACUCGAAAUAACCAAAGCUUCAGAUCGUUCAUCUCAUCUACCACCAUAUGAUCCAAUAUCUCCUCAUCAAAAAAAGCUUACCACAACAUGACAUAGUGCAAUUCAACAACAAAUGACAUCGUGAAUUACCGACCGCCUAAUACACAAAGAUUAUUCAUCUCAUCUACCGACUGCCUAACACAUAAAGAUUAUUAAGCCACCCCUGCUAGUGACGAACAUUUGCUACUGGGGAUGAUGAUCUUGUGAGUCUUUAAAGCUUGACAUUUUUUGAGAAUAGCCUGUAACUUUACUCUCAAGCUCGACAAAAGUUACACAUACAAUGCUUCGGCUCAUUGAUCCGAGAACUUACAAAGUAAUUCCUAUAAUUAAGGACUACAAUGAAAUUUAUCAGAUGCGUCUUCCAUGUGUAUCAUUUUUUGCUGCACAAAAUACUAUCAGGGCUUCUGUAAAGAUAAUGCAGUCAAAUCAAAGCAGCGACACUGCCACUCGUACACAUGUGCGAGAAUUGACUACCUUCAUAGGUUUCAAAACUGCCCAUUGAAAAGGUUGGAAGCCAUGAUCGUUGAAUGUAUUUCGGACGUGGAUGGUCCACUAGAGGUACAGGUUGUCGACCCAUAAUAUCUUUAAAAGAACGUCAAAGAAGGACUUGAAAGUCUCAAAAAUUACACCAAGAGAAGCACCAGAAAACAUAAAAUCCGCAUGGUCAAAUCCACAUGGUCAAAUAAACCAAGCCCGCACAGACACAAACUAUCCGGCUUCAUGGCGCCUUUCGAUAACACUGCACCACAACGGGAGAAAAUUCAUAUUAGCUUUAUUCUUUACGGCAUUGCACCCUCCACCAGGACAUUGUCGACGAAGGCCAUAGAAAUCGCCGUUUUUUUGAAUAAACUCAGAAAGAUCCAAUACCCCCCUUGCCACGCAACACGAUGGCCGAAGGCGAAGGGGACACACAAAGUCCGUGGUGGUUGCCUCCUAAAACCCUAGCUUCUCAUGUGACUAGGUCUCUUUUAAAGCUUGGCAUUUAUGAGCUUAGUUCGUGUUGAGCCAUACUUCUUACUUGGGUUGUUGGCUACUACAUGUGCUAUGUCUUGCCAACCCUGAGAGGAUAUAGCGCUCGAUACUAGUAGUGGUAUCAUUCAUCUGUUUUUGAGUUGUUUUAAGAUACUUCCUGUCUAGUGGGGCCAAUGUUUGAACCCUUCGUCCUGUUUUGGAAGGGUUCUAUUUCAAGUAUUUUUUUUUCCUUUUAAUUUACAGUUCUAUCGGUUUUCUUUAGAGUUUUCGUUUGCUUUCUUCUAUUUUAAAUAUUUAUUUUACUUUAUAAGUACAUGAUCUUUUUAAAAUUCUUUUACAUGUUACGAAGAUUUCACAAUCAUUGUGUGAAUAUAUUUUUACAUGUUUAUGAAAAUUCCUAAAAUGUUAUAAAAAACAUUUUGAAUGGCACAAUUUUCUUAAUGUUGCCUGAAAAACAAAUCAUUAAUUAUAGAAAUGCUAUGAACUUUGUGAAAAAAUCAUAAACAUAUUUUUAGAUGUUAUGAGCAUUUGUUUGGAGUGGUAUAUUAUUUUUCAGAAAUACACGAUGAAGAUCAUGAAAAAUGAUAAAAAAUAAAAUAGAUAAUAAACAUUUUGAAUAGAUGGCGGAUCCUUGUAAGCAUGACAAGAUUUUUUCAUAUACACAAUGAACAUUUUCUAACAAACAUUGGAUUAUUUCUUAACGUGGGGUCAACAAAUUGAAUGUGUGUCAAAAGAAUAAUAAAAGUAAGUAAAAUAGCAUAUUUUCCAAUAAUAUUUGUCUCUAUGUUUCAUAAAAGAGAGGAAAAAUGGAAACACAAGGUGUGAAAAGAAUGAAGGAAAAAAAUUCUUCUUCUUAUUAUUNNNNNNNNNNUAUUAUUGAUUACGGAAACCAAACAUGCAUAUAUCCACUAGCUUUUUUUUUUGAGGGGUGCAUAUAUCCACUAGCUAAAUGCAGCCUGGCUCAACUAGAAGACCACUGCAGCCGAUGCCUUUCUACCAUGAGCCUGGCCCAUGCCCCUGACCUUCACAUUAGCAUUUACAUUGUGCUUUCUGGCCUAUUCUGCAAAAACCCUAUUCGCGGCUCUCUGCGACAAAUUAUCGAGCGACACCAGCGACUAAAUGGCAAGGGGCCGUUGCACGUUUCACUGAUCCCGGUUUCGGCAGCUUUCUAGAAGGUUCCCAACCGUUUCAGGUCUGGUUUUCCUUUUUAUUUUUUCCUGCUGUUUCUUUUAUUGUUUUCUUCGAUUUUUCGUUCCCUUUAUUAUUAUUAUUUUCUGUUAUUUGGUUAUAUGUUUCAUCUCUGGAUACCUUUUUUUCGUUACCAAUUUUGAGAAUGUUUUUUACAUGGUCAGAAUUUCAAAUUGUUUAGGAAUUUCUAAUUUUGUUAACGUUUUGAAAAAAUAAUUAAAUUUUCAUAUUUUGUUCCCUUCUAUUCAAAAAAUGUUCGGAUAUUUGAAAUUAAGUUCGUGUUCUGAAAACAAAUGUUAAUUUUUCAUAUUUUGUCACCUUCUAUUCAUGAAUGUUUGAGAAUUUCAAUUUUUUCACAUUCUAAGAAUUGUUCAAAUUUUGUUCUCUUGUAUUCAAAAAAUGUUCAGAUUUUUCAAAUUUUGUUCGUGUGUUGGAUUUUAUAAAUUUUGUUCCCUUAUAUUAAAAUUGUUUUCGGAAUUGAAAAUCUUGCUCAUGUUUCGAAAAAUGUUAAAUUAUUCUUAACUUCUAUUAAAAAUAUGCUUGAAGAUUUCAAUUUUUUUGUGUGUUUUGUAAACUUGUUCAAAAUUUCAAUUUUUGUUCCUUUAUAUUCCAAAAAUAUUUGGGAGUUUCAAAUUUUGUUUGUGUUUAUAAAAGGUGUUACUAAUUUUAGAAAAAAUGUUUUUCAAAAAAUGUUUGGGAUUUCAAAUUUUUUCACGCUUUUAGAAAAGUUCCCAAUUUUGAAAAUUAAUCAUUUUUCCAGAAAAAUCAGGUAUUCCAACUUUUAUUCGGUUUCUGAAAAUGUUCAGAAUUUUGAAAAUUAUUCACUUUUUCCAAAAAAUGUUCAGGAUUUUCAAGUUAUAUUCUCCUUUAAAGAAAAUUUACAGAAUUUAAAAAAUUGUUCACUCUUUUAAAAUAUGUUCAAAUACUCAAAAGUUGUUUAGUUCGUAUAAUUGUUCACUAGUUUCAAGAACAUUUGACAUUUUAAAAUUUGCUCACUUUUUACAGAAAAUGUUCAAAACAUUUCAAAAAGUUGUUGAAUUUUUUUUAAAAACAAGUUUAUAAAUUUGUUAUCGUUUCUCAAAAAUGUUCUCCAAUUUAAAAUAUGUUCGUGGUUCCAAUUUUUUGUUCAAAAUUUGAUCAAAAGUUCUAUUUUCCAGCUUUUGUUCAGAAAUUCAAAAACUGAUCAUACUUACAAUUUUUUAUUCCGAACUUCUUGAAAUGUUCCACUUUUUGAAAUAAAUUUUCAGAAAUUCAAAAAAUGGUCACGCUUUCAAAAUUUCAUUAUUUGUUCACAUAUUCUUGUUGGUGAAAAAUUGUUCAGAAACUCAAAAAAUACUUGCACAUUUUCAAAUAUACUCUUUCGAAAAAGAGUAGACUUUUUGAAAUAAACUAUCACCAUAGUAACUAAUUCUAGUUCGCCACAAUAUUUAAUUCAAAUUUGCUAUAGUCGAGCAGCCCGGGUUUACACUACGUUAAUAAUUUAGGUCGCGCGGUGCAAUACUAACAAAAAAAUUGUCUCGUGGAGUGGCUAUGAGCUCGCAAUUGGAAGCAGGAGGUCUAAUUUUCGAAUCCUCACAUCGUGCUGCCCUCGAAUUUUGCUAUAUUUUUUCGUCUCGUGGUACAGGUUGAUCGGUUGGCCUAGUCGUGUUGUCUCCUAUGUGUGGCGCCGCUAAUUUGACGGAAAGAGCGUAAAAUAGGAGGUCCCCCUAUUAUGUGUUCACAACCGUGGUGGCUGCUUGAAGGUUGUCUAUAGAAGAAAGCUCUCUUGAAGGUGGAGUCCAUCAACAACAACAAAAAACUACGAAACAACCAUCAAAUAGACACAUGAUAAAAAGGCUAGAUGUUUUUUUCUCGGACACGAUACACACGUGGUUUUUAGGACAUAAUCACUCGGGACCCGCCCCCUCCAUUGGGGCAUGCGGGAGAUGGGGCGCAGCCGGCACCGGAUGCUGUCGGUGCAGUCGCUGCCUCUACGCCGCUUUCGGGUGAGGCCUUGGAUGCAGUUUGGGCUCUCGCCGGGGUCUCUCUGGCUGAUGCCAAGGCGGCUGCUGUGCGGAAUGCAGGCUUUGAUAAAGCUAGUAAAGAUCUGAUGGGGAGAGAGCCACGAAGUGGGCUAGGAAGAAAGAAAAGAUGACGUGAUACCGGUGCGGAGGGCAUUUUGUGGUUGAGUGCUCGGCAGAGCUAUGUGACAUUUGCCAUAAGCCGAAGCAUGAGAAGGGAGAGUGCCCUUUGCUCCUAAGGCCGAAGCCGGUGGUCACGAUCUAUGGGGCUUGUUGUCUAGAGCUUAUGUUCUUUGAAUCUCCUCGCUCGACUUCGACCACGCCGUCUCUGGAGAGUGCGCGGACGGGGGUUGUUAGGGUGACUCGUGGAUCGAUGACUUCGGAUCAGGUUGUUAGGAUGACUCGUGGAUCCAGUCAGGCUUGACGAGCAUCUAUUGAGAGCGGAUUUUCCUACUAAGGAAGAUCUUGCGAGGUUGCUGAAAUUUGGGAUGAGCAAGGUGCCAAACAACACUUGUGUUCUUGAGUUUGAGCCCGAGGGAACUCCUUUUUCUCAGCUGUGGGUAAGGUUUCUAGGUGCUCCGCGUACAGCGAUAGAUGAUUUUUUGGUGACUUGGAGUCUUGGUUCUCUGAUUGGUAAAACAGAGAAGGUGGAUAUGCCUUUCACUCAUGCACAGGGGGUAGCUCGCCUGGUGGUUAGUGUGACUAGCAUUGAGCAUAUUCCACACACUGUGAGAUGGGCUUAUGAUGGCAGGAGUUUUGACUUGGAUAUUGAGAUAGAGGAAAGUACUCUCUUCUAGGAGUUGGUUGAACAUAUCGAUAUGGAUACGGAGGAUGGUAACAACGGAGAUGGGAAACGGGAUGGUGGGUAAAAAAUGGGGAUGAUACUGACAGCGGUAAAAAGUGGUGGCAGCGCGUGCUCCACCGAAUCAUCCAUCUCCAUCGUGACACCACACAGUCACCCGCGCGCGGAGCCAGACGCGAAAGACCCAAAUCUCAACUGAUUCGAAGGGGUGGAAGUAUGUGCCUGCUCCUUCGUAGAGCCAGUCACUCCGGGGGCUUUUGCGAUGCCAGAGUCACCCACUCGGCCCUUGUUGGAGGAGACAUCGCCGAGGACGAUCCUGAGAUCCGGGGACCGGAGUCAGGAACAUUCGGCGGCUUCACAUGAGACGGCGGCAUCUAGGCAGCAUGGUGCUGUUGCAGUUACUUCUUCCCCCAAUGGGUACUUUGGGACUUCGAAAGUGGUUGGGAAGCUGGCAGGUGGCCAUACCGCAAUGGCUUCGACGACACCUUUCUCUGCUCGGGGCGUCGCUAGUGACCCUAGCCAGAUAGGGGCAUGGCUGCUGGGAGCGACCGAGGUGGGCAUGACUGCUUUGUCGGUCACACGAUAGAUGAUCGUGCGUCUCCUGGCAUUAUGCAUUCGAGCCCCAUCGGAUAGGAGUCACAAGGUCACCGUCUGCAUGUGCAUACCACCAAGGAGAUUAUCACCUUCGGAGGGUUCCCUGACCGGGCGACAAGAGAGAGGCGGACGAGUAGCCGUCUCCAGGCUCAGCCGGAUGUCGAUGAUCUUCACAUGGGUUGUGCCAUGCGGACGGCUAAGCUUCGUGACAUUGAGGCAACUACAGGUAUGUCGGUUAAUAGUAUGUCGGUUAAUACGAAUUGUUCUAUCUUGCAUUUCUCUGAUGAUGAUGUUAUUUUAAAUGCAAACCGACUAGGGGUGUCGCUGGGUAACAAUGGGAAGGAAUUUUCGAAAUGUGUGAAUGAUAUUUUAGACUUAGAGGCUGAGAGAGCUAUGGAGAUGCUUAGGAAUAUUGCUUCAGUCAAACCUAUGAAUGGUUCUGAUAUUAAUGCUCUAGGGAUGGUGGCAUUAGAGGGUCUAUGUGAGGACCUCGUGCCAACGUCACCGAUAUGUGAAGAAGGUAACGAUAUCGGUUCAGAGGGUUAUAUGGACUCUCCGCAACCUAAUGUUUGCGCAGAGUCUGGGACUGGUUAUAUGGGCCGGUUGGCUGAACAGGAUAAGCCAAAACACACCUCGAAGGGAAAGGUUUAUCCUGAAUCUACGGUUCGUAGAAACGCAAGACUUAAGACUGCAAAAAAAAAUUGAUGACACAUGAAAGGAAUAUUUUUAAACAGCAUAGGUCUAGCAGACUUGGCUAAAGAAGAUUUUUAGCGAAAGCGACAAUUGAUCCCAAACUAGACUUUAUUGUCCUAAUGGAAAUCGGUAGAGAUAACUUUACGUCACAAUUUCUUAGUACUCUCUCCGGUGGUGUUGAGUUUGAUUGGCAUUGUCUAACGCGAAGAGGAAGGUCCGGUGGAAUCUUACUUGGGGUAAGGUGCGAGUCACUUGAAGUCGAGAACGUAGUGUACAGGAACUUCGGUGUGAAAUUUAGACUGUGCUCGAAGGAGGACGGCUUCCAAUGGGCACUUGUGGCAGUAUAUGGUGCCGCCCAGCCAGAGUUGAAGAUAAGCUUCCUAGCUGACCUUGUCUGGAUUUGUGGGAUGGGCGGCUACCGAUUUUAGUUGGGGGUGACUUCAAUAUCUUUCAGUGUAGGGAGGAAAAGAAUAAUGACAACUUUGGUGGAAGAUGGUCAUUUAUGUUUAACACAAUUACCGAAAGCUUGUGCAAGAGAUUGAGCUCUCAGGCAGAAAAUUUACUUAGGCCAAUGCCUUGCCCAAUCCAACAUUUGAGAAAUUGGAUCGAAUUCUCACUGGUGUGGAGUGGGAGCAGAAAUACCCUCUCAUAACAGCACGAGCGUUGCCGUGAGCGAUUUAUGACCAUACCGCAUUUCUUGUUGACUCGGGUGAUGCAACACAUGCGGGUAACAAGAAUACUUUCUCUUUUGAGCUAGCUCAGUUUGAGAGAGAAGGCUUUCUGGACCUAAUAGCUAGAGAAUUGGCUAAGGUCACAGCGGGGGUAUCUAAUGUGGACCGAUGGCAAAAUAGAAUAAGGCAGGUGAGGUAAUUCCUAAGAGGUUGGGCUAAGCACGAGAGCGACAAAUAUAAAAAGGAGAAAGAAAGACUUCUCGAUCUUAUUAAUCGGUUAGAUUUAAAAGUCGAAUCACGCUGUUCGAUGACAACGGAAGGUCAUCUAGAGCACAGGCUGAGAAUAUUCUUACACAACUUCUUAGAGAAUAAGAUUUGAAAUGGCUCUUAGAGUGAAAGUUCGACGGGUUGUUUACGGUGAUGACAACACGAAGUAUUUCCGUCUCAUUGCGAAUGGAAAACACAGAAAGUAAUUUUUUUUACCAACUUGAGGAAGACGAGGGUACGAUUUUUGGACAUGAAAGUUUAAAGUUGUAUAUCUCUGAAUACUAUAAGCAACUCUUCCGGGAGCCUGAUGACAACUUCGUAUCCAUGGAUGAGCAGACAGUCGGUGAUAUUUAUCAGCUCGGGAACAACAAGAAUGCGAUAUUAACCACACCAUUUUCGGAGAAAGAGGUGUUUGAGGCUAUUUCACAAAUGAAAAACAAUAAGGCACCAGGACCAUAUGGAUUUCCGACUCAGUUUUAUAAGAGAUGUUGGCACGUUAUUAAAGGUGAGUUACUACCGAUAUUUCAGGACUUGUUCAAUGGCCAACUCCAGCUUUUCCAUCUUAACUUUGGAACAAUUAUGUUGUUGCCAAAGAAGGAGGGGACGUUGCACAUUGAAGAAUUUUGACCUAUUUGCUUGCUUAAUGUGAGCUUCUGUUUUUUUGGAAAGGUUGGUACAAAUAGAUUGUCGCAAAUUGAUCAUGCAGUGGUGCAACCUAGUCAGACGGCUUUCAUGCCGGACAUAAACAUACUAGAGGGUGUGGUUGUCCUACAUGAAACAUUGCAUGAAAUCCACUCAAAGAAACUAGAUGGGGUUAUCUUGAAGGUGGAUUUUGAGAAAUCUUAUGAUAAGGUUAAAUAGCCUUUCCUUCAACAAGCCUUACGUAUGAAGAAGGGAUUUGACAAGGUUUGGAGGAAACACGUUGAAUCAUUUAUACAAAAAGGUAACGUUGGAAUUAAAUUUAAUGAUGAUAUGAGUCAUUACUUUAAAACGCACAAAGGUCUUCGGCAGGGAGACCCAAUGUCUCCCAUCCUAUUCAAUGUGGUUGCAUAUAUGUUGGCAAUUCUAAUAGGAAGGGCUAAAGAGGAAGGCGAGGUAGGUGGACUCGUUCCACAUCUAGUGUAUGGUGGGGUGCUAUCCUACAAUAUGCUGAUGGCACUAUCUUGUUCGUGGAACAUGAUUUGGCAAAAGCGAGAAAUAUGAAACUUAUUCCGUGCUUAUUCAAACGGUUGUCAGGCUUGAAAACUAUUUUUCACAAGAGUGAUCUGUUCUGCUUUGGGAGAGCCAAAUAUGAACAAGGUAUAUAUAAACAACUGUUUGGAUGUGAACUGGGAAGUCUACCAUUUAGUUAUCUAGGCAUACCAAUUCAUCACCGUAAGUUAUCAAACAAAGAGUGAAAAUGUGUUGAGGAUCGAUUUGACAAAAAACUAAGCUGCUGGAAGACUAAGCUUUUGUCAUAUGGAGGUCGGCUCAUACUGAUUAAUUAGGUUCUAACGAGCAAGUCGAUGUUCCUUCUGUCCUUCUUUGAGGUAUCGGUAGGGGUACGGAAAAGAUUGAACUCUUAUCGAUCCCGCUUUUUCUGGCAGAGUGACGAAGUUAAGAAGAAAUACAUGCUUGCUAGGUGGGAUAUUGUUUGCAGACCGAAGGACGAGGGUGGUUUGGGAAUUGAGAAUUUAGAGGUUAAGAACAUAUGUGUGCUAAGCAAAUGGUUGUUCAAUUAUCUAUGGAGGCAGAAGGUAUGUGGGUACAAAUUUUGCGUAAUAAGUACUUACAAUCUAAAACCUUGGCCCAGGUAACAGUUAGACUCAAUGAUUCACCUUUCUGGAAAGGCUUGAUGAAGAUAAAACCGGGUUUCUUCCACAAAGCUAAAUUUAUCAUUGGAGAUGGAAAGUCUACAAGAUUCUGGGAGGAUACGUGGUUGGGGGCGACGCCUCUGGCCAUACAGUAUCCAUCUCUCUAUAAUAUUGUUCAACGUAAGGAGGCUUAUGUUGCCUGAGUAUUACAGUCAAUUCCGACGAGUUUUAGUAGUUUAUAGGUGGGAGGCUUGAUUACACCUAGUCACAAGACUCAUGGAUGUCCAGCUAUCGGAUGAGCCCGAUAGGCUUCAUUGAAAGCUAACACCUAAUGGCAUCUUUACUAUCAAAUCAAUGUAUUUGAGCCUUAUUGACACAACACCAAUACCUAAGUCCAAUCAUAUUUGGAAGGUGAAAGUGCCCUUGCACUUCAAAGAUUUCAUGUGGUUUGUCCACGAGAAGGUGAUUCUUACUAGGGAUAAUUUGGCAAACCGAAAUUGGGAGGGAAGUAAAAGAUGUAGCUUCUGUGACCAUGAUGAGACUAUCAAACACUUUUUUCUCCAAUGUCCGCUCGCAAGAAUUCUAUAACAAACAGUUCGUAUAUCCUUUAAUAUCACACCUCCGUAUAGCAUUGAUAUGUUGUUUGGGAUGUGGCUAAAUGGGGUUGACAUAACUUUUGCUAAACAUAUUCGUGUAGGAGUAUGUGCAUUGCUUUGGGCUAUAUGGAACCGCAGGAAUGACGUAACUUUUAACACACAAACAAAUGUUAAUUUCUUGCAGGUACUCCACAGGAUAUCGGCGUUGAUCCGUACAUGGUCGUUACUCACUCUUGUGGAAACCAGGGAACCUUUAAUUACUGGGUCUAUCCGGUGGGAGAUGGUAGCUCGGGAUAUCUACAACCAGUUUGGAUGGCGGUCCGGUAAUAGGAUAGAUGUUUAGGCAUCUAGGCUUAUGUUCGUCGGUUGUGGCAUCUUUUUGUAGACUUUUCAUUAUUGUGUUGCUCGUUUUGAGCUUGUUCGGAAAUCCUGGAUGUUUGUUACUUGUCCUUAAUAAAGUGGUUGCAUACAUCGUAAUGAUGCAGAGGCCGGAGGGAAUCCUCCUUUUCGAAAAAGCUGAUUUUCAGAAAAAUGGCAGUGAAGCUAGCAACACGGCUUGGCACAACGAGUUGCCGCCGAUAGCUUUGCUUCUUUUUCGAUCUAAACAUAACUGAAAGCUAAAGAUCAAGGCUUUUCCUUUGGACCCACACAAACCAGCGAGAGAAUAUACAAAAAAUGCGGGAAUAGAGAAGAAGAGAAGUGAACGGCUAUAAGCUCAUAGAUGAGCGAAAAUGGGGAUCAACCUCGAAGUUAGCCGCGAAACAACUUGUGAUUGUAUCGCUUGAGGGACAAUGAUAUUUCUAGCCGAUAAGAGCAUCUCUAGCACACCCCGUAUAAAGCCGAUCCGCAAAAGUCGUUUACAGUUCGCGAAAAACGGGUUUUGAGGGCUGACGCGGAUGCGGACAGAGGCAGAUCCCCAAAACGGACUCGUAAAAAACGAUAUUCACGGACGAUGCUUUUAUACGGGUCGGCAAUGUGGGGUCUGCUCAGGCGCCGCCGCGUCGACCCGCAAACCAAAAAACCUCCCAAUAAAACAUAGUUUGAAUUUGAUAGCGAUUUCGGCAAAUGAGUUCGAAUUUAAACAAUAAAACAUAGUCCGUGCGUGAAAUGAAAGCAUAAUUUAAAGGACAAACGCAAAAGGACUUCAUGCAUCCUGGUCGCUCUUCACUCCGCACCAUCGAGUUCAUCGCCGCCCCCGAUUCCAUCGACUCCCCGAAUCAAUCGCCGACACUUGUUCCUACUCCGCCACUUGUCCCUACUUCGGCACCGAAAUCAUCAGCAAUAUUGGUUCUGAUUCGAGAUGAGAAAACAUUGCCGCCAUUGUAACACGCAAGCAUCCUCCUCUUCAAGAUUUCUCUCCUUGUCAUACAUGCCAUUUUUUGGUGAUGUCUGUUGGAAUUAUGCCCUAGAGGCAAUAAUAAAUGUAUAGUUAUUAUUAUAAUUCCUGUAUCAAGAUAAUAGUUUAUUAUCCAUGCUAUAAUUGUAUUGAAUGAAGACUCAUUUACAUGUGUGGAUACAUAGACAAAACACCGUCCCUAGCAUGCCUCUAGUUGGCUAGCCAGUUGAUCAAUGAUAGUCAGUGUCUUCUGAUUAUGAACAAGGUGUUGUUGCUUUAUAACUGGAUCACGUCAUUGGGAGAAUCACGUGAUGGACUAGACCCAAACUAAUAGACGUAGCAUGUUGAUCGUGUCAUUUUGUUGCUACUGUUUUCUGUGUGUCAAGUAUUUAUUCCUAUGACCAUGAGAUCAUAUAACUCACUGACACCGGAGGAAUGCUUUGUGUGUAUCAAACGUCGCAACGUAACUGGGUGACUAUAAAGAUGCUCUACAGGUAUCUCCGAAGGUGUUAGUUGAGUUAGUAUGCAUCAAGACUGAGAUUUGUCACUCCGUGUGACGGAGAGGUAUCUCGGGGCCCACUCGGUAAUACAACAUCACACACAAGCCUUGCAAGCAAUGUAACUUAGUGUAAGUUACGGGAUCUUGUAUUACGGAAUGAGUAAAGAGACUUGCCGGUAAACGAGAUUGAAAUAGGUAUGCGGAUACUGACGAUCGAAUCUCGGGCAAGUAACAUACCGAAGGACAAAGGGAAUGACAUACGGGAUUAUACGAAUCCUUGGCACUGAGGUUCAAACGAUAAGAUCUUCGUAGAAUAUGUAGGAUCCAAUAUGGGCAUCCAGGUCCCGCUAUUGGAUAUUGACCGAGGAGUCUCUCGGGUCAUGUCUACAUAGUUCUCGAACCCGCAGGGUCUGCACACUUAAGGUUCGACGUUGUUUUAUGCGUAUUUGAGUUAUAUGGUUGGUUACCGAAUGUUGUUCGGAGUCCCGGAUGAGAUCACGGACGUCACGAGGGUUUCCGGAAUGGUUCGGAAACGAAGAUUGAUAUAUAGGAUGACCUCAUUUGAUUACCGGAAGGUUUUCGGAGUUACCGGGAAUGUACCGGGAAUGACGAAUGGGUUCCGGGAGUUCACCGGGGGGGCAACCCACCCCGGGGAAGCCCAUAGGCAUUGGGGGAGCCACACCAGCCCUUAGUGGGCUGGUGGGACAGCCCACAAGUGCCCAAUGCACCAAGAGAAGAAAAAUCAAGAGGAAAGGCAAAAAAAGGAAGGAGGUGGGAAGGAAGGGGGACUCCUCCCACCAAACCAAGUCCAACUCGGUUUGGGGGGGAAGUCCUCCCCCCCUUUGGCUCGGCCGACUCCUUGGGGGUCCUUGGACCCCAAGGCAGGGCCCCCUCUCUCCCACCUAUAUAUACGGAGGUUUUAGGGCUGAUUUGAGACGAUUUUUCUCACGGCUGCCCGACCACAUACCUCCACGGUUUUUCCUCUAGAUCGCGUUUCUGCGGAGCUCGGGCGGAGCCCUGCUGAGACAAGGUCAUCACCAACCUCCGGAGCGCCGUCAUGCUGCCGGAGAACUCUUCUACCUCUCCGUCUCUCUUGCUAGAUCAAGAAGGCCGAGAUCAUCGUCGAGCUGUACGUGUGCUGAACGCGGAGGUGCCGUCUGUUCGGUACUAGAUCGUGGGACUGAUCGCGGGAUUGUUCGCGGGGUGGAUCGAGGGACGUGAGGACGUUCCACUACAUCAACCGCGUUCACUAACGCUUCUGCUGUACGAUCUACAAGGGUACGUAGAUCACUCAUCCCCUCUCGUAGAUGGACAUCACAAUGAUAGGUCUUCGUGCGCGUAGGAAAAUUUUUGUUUCCCAUGCGACGUUCCCCAAAAGUGGCAUCAUGAGCCAGGUUCAUGCGUAGAUGUCUUCUCGAGUAGAACACAAAAGUUUUUGUGGGCGGUGAUGUGCGUUUUGCUGCCCUCCUUAGUCUUUUCUUGAUUCCGCGGUAUUGUUGGAUUGAAGCGGCUUGGACCGACAUUACUCGUACGCUUACGAGAGACUGGUUUCAUCGUUACGAGUAACCCCCUUUGCUCAAAGAUGACUGGCAAGUGACGGUUUCUCCAACUUUAGUUGAAUCGGAUUUGACCGAGGAGGUCCUUGGAUGAGGUUAAAUAGCAACUCAUAUAUCUCCGUUGUGGUGUUUGCGUAAGUAAGAUGCGAUCCUACUAGAUACCCUUGGUCACCACGUAAAACAUGCAACAACAAAAUUAGAGGACGUCUAACUUGUUUUUGCAGGGUAUGAUUGUGAUGUGAUAUGGCUAAUGAUGUGAUGUGAUAUAUUGGAUGUAUGAGAUGAUCAUGUUGUAAUAGAAAUAUCGACUUGCACAUCGAUGGUACGGCAACCGGCAGGAGCCAUAGGGUUGUCUUUAUACUAACGUUUGUGCUUGCAGAUGCGUUUACUAUUUUGCUAGGAUGUAGCUUUAGUAGUAAUAGCAUGAGUAGCACGACAACCCCGGUGGCAACACGUUGAUGGAGAUCAUGGCGUGGCGCUGGUGACAAGAAGAUCGUGCCGGUGCUUUGGUGAUGGAGAUCAAGAAGCACGUGAUGAUGGCCAUAUCAUGUCACUUAUGAAUUGCAUGUGAUGUUAAUCCUUUUUUGCACCUUAUUUUGCUUAGAACGACGGUAGCAUUAUGAGGUGAUCUCUCACUAAAAUUUCAAGACGAAAUUGUGUUCUCCCCGACUGUGCACCGUUGCUACAGUUCGUCGUUUCGAGACACCACGUGAUGAUCGGGUGUGAUAGACUCAACGUUCACAUACAACGGGUGCAAAACAGUUGCGCACGCGGAACACUCGGGUUAAGCUUGAUGAGCCUAUCAUGUGCAGACAUGGCCUCGGAACACAUGAGACCGAAAGGUCGAUCAUGAAUCAUAUAGAUGAUAUGAUUAGCAUAGGGAUGCUUACCACUGAAACUAUGCUCAACUCACGUGAUGAUCGGACUUGAGCUAGUGUAAGUGGAUCAUGAACCACCCAAAUGACUAGAGAGAUGUACUUUUUGAGUGGGAGUUUAGCGAAUAAUUUGAUUAAGUUAAACUCUAAUUAUCUUGAACAUAGUCUAAGUCCACUUUGAAUAUAUUUGUUGUAGAUCAUGGCUCACGCGAGUGUCAUCCUGAAUUUUAAUACAUUCCUAGAGAAAGCUAAGUUGAAAGAUGAUGGAAGCAACUUUGUAGACUGGACUCGUAAUCUUAAGCUAAUCUUACAAGCUGGGAAGAAGGAUUAUGUCCUUAAUGCUGCGCUAGGAGAUGAACCACCCGCUACGGCUGAUCAGGAUGUUAAGAACACUUGGUUAGCACGUAAGGAGGACUACUCAAUAGUUCAAUGUGCAGUCUUGUAUGGCUUAGAGCCGGGACUUCAACGUCGCUUUGAGCGUCAUGGAGCAUUUGAGAUGUUCCAGGAGUUGAAGUUUAUCUUUCAGAAGAACGCCCGGAUCGAGAGGUAUGAGACCUCCGAUAAAUUCUAUGCUUGCAAUAUGGAGGAAAACUCGUCUGUCAGUGAACAUGUGCUCAAAAUGUCUGGGUACUCAAACCGUCUAGCUGAGCUGGGGAUUGAACUCCCGCAAGAGGCUAUCACUGACAGAAUCCUUCAAUCACUGUCGCCAAGCUAUAAAGGCUUUGUGUUGAACUACAACAUGCAAGGGAUGAACAAGUCUCCCGGCGAGUUGUUUGCGAUGCUAAAAGUCGCAGAGUCUGAACUCCGUAAAGAGCAUCAAGUGUUGAUGGUGAGCAAGACCACUAGUUUCAAGAGAAACGGCAAAGGCAAGAAGGGCAAUUCGAAGAAGAGCGGCAAGCCUGUUGCCAAUCCACCGAAGAAACCCAAGGCUGGACCUAAGCCUGAAACAGAGUGCUUCUAUUGCAAGGGUAUGGGUCACUGGAAGCGCAAUUGCCCCAAUUAUCUGGCAGAUAAGAAGGCGGGCAAAGAAAAAUCAGGUAUAUUUGAUAUACAUGUUAUUGAUGUGUAUUUAACCGGCUCUCGUAGUAGUGCCUGGGUAUUUGAUACCGGUUCUGUUGCUCAUGUUUGCAACUCGAAACAGGAACUGCGGAAUAGACGAAGGCUGGCGAAAGACGAAGUGACGAUGCACGUAGGAAAUGGUUCCAAGGUUGAUGCAAUCGCCGUCGGCACAGUGUCACUUCAGCUACCAUCGGGAUUAGUGAUGAACUUAAAUCAUUGUUAUUUAGUGCCUGCGUUGAGCAUGAACAUUAUAUCUGGAUCUUGUUUAUUGCGAGACGGUUACUCUUUUAAGUCUGAGAAAAAUGGUUGUUCUAUUUCUAUGAGUAACAUAUUUUAUGGUCAUGCACCGAAUGUGAGAGGAUUGUUCAUAUUGAAUCUUGAUAGCGAUACGCAUAUACAUAACAUUGAGACCAAAAGAGUUAGAGUAAACAAUGAUAGCGCCAUAUUUUUGUGGCACUGCCGCUUGGGUCAUAUUGGUGUAAAGCGCAUGAAGAAACUCCAUGCUGAUGGACUUUUGGAGUCACUUGACUUUGAUUCACUUGACACGUGCGAACCAUGCCUCAUGGGCAAGAUGACUAAGACUCCGUUCUCCGGAACAAUGGAGCGUGCAAGUGACUUGUUGGAAAUCAUACAUACCGAUGUGUGUGGUCCAAUGAGCGUAGAGGCACACGGCGGAUAUCGUUAUUUUCUCACCUUCACUGACGAUUUAAGUAGAUAUGGUUAUGUCUACUUGAUGAAACACAAGUCUGAAACAUUUGAAAAGUUCAAGAAAUUUCAGAGUGAAGUGGAAAAUCAUCAUAACAAGAAGAUCAAGUUCCUACGGUCUGAUCGUGGGGGUGAAUAUCUGAGUUUCGAGUUUGGUGCUCACUUAAGACAAUGUGGAAUUGUUUCGCAGUUAACACCGCCUGGAACACCACAGCGUAAUGGUGUGUCCGAACGUCGUAAUCGUACUUUCUUAGAGAUGGUGCGAUCUAUGAUGUCUCUUACUGAUUUGCCGUUAUCAUUUUGGGGUUAUGCAUUAGAAACAGCUGCAUUCACUUUAAAUAGGGCACCAUCAAAAUCCGUUGAGACGACACCAUACGAACUGUGGUAUGGCAAAAGGCCAAAGUUGUCGUUUCUUAAAGUUUGGGGAUGUGAUGCUUAUGUCAAAAAGCUUCAGCCUGAAAAGCUGGAACCCAAAGUGGAAAGGUGCCUCUUCAUAGGUUACCCAAAAGAGACAGUUGGGUACACCUUCUAUCUCAAAUCCGAGGGCAAAGUGUUUGUUGCUAAAAACGGAGCUUUUCUCGAGAAGGAGUUUCUCUCGAGAGAAUUGAGUGGGAGGAAGAUAGAACUUGACGAGGUUGUCGAACCUUUCAUCCCUCUGGAUGGUGGCGCAGGGCAAGGGGAAACCUCUAUCGUUGCGACGCCGGUUGAGGAGGAAGUUAAUGAUGAUGAUCAUGAAACUCCAGUUCAAGUUUCUAUUGAACCACGCAGGUCGACGAGAUCACGCGCUGCUCCAGAGUGGUACGGUAAUCCCGUCUUAUCAAUCAUGUUGUUAGACAACAAUGAACCUGCAAAUUAUGAAGAAGCAAUGGUGGGCCCAGAUUCCAACAAAUGGCUAGAAGCCAUGAAAUCCGAGAUAGGAUCCAUGUAUGAGAACAAAGUGUGGACUUUGGAGAUACUACCUGAGGGCCGCAAGGCUAUUCAGAACAAAUGGAUCUUUAAGAAGAAGACGGACGCUGACGGUAAUGUGACCGUUUAUAAAGCUCGACUUGUGGCAAAGGGUUUUUCACAAGUUCCAGGAGUUGACUACGAUGAGACUUUCUCACCCGUAGCGAUGCUUAAGUCCGCCAGAAUCAUGUUAGCAAUAGCUGCAUUUUUCGAUUAUGAAAUCUGGCAGAUGGAUGUCAAAACGGCGUUCCUUAACGGUUUCCUUAAGGAAGAGUUGUAUAUGAUGCAACCCGAAGGUUUUGUCGAUCCUAAAAAUGCUGAUAAAGUGUGCAAGCUCCAGCGAUCCAUUUAUGGACUGGUGCAAGCAUCUCGGAGUUGGAACAAACGCUUUGAUGAGGUGAUCAAAGCAUUUGGGUUUAUACAAGUGGUUGGAGAAUCCUGUAUUUACAAGAAAGUGAGUGGGAGCUCUGUGGCGUUUCUAAUAUUAUAUGUGGAUGACAUAUUACUGAUUGGAAACAAGGUAGAGCUUUUGGAGAGCAUAAAAGGUUACUUGAAUAAAAGUUUCUCUAUGAAGGACCUAGGAGAAGUUGCUUACAUUCUAGGCAUUAAGAUCUAUAGGGAUAGAUCAAAAAGCCUGAUAGAACUUUCACAAAGCACAUACCUUGAUAAAGUUUUGAAGAGGUUCAAAAUGGAGCAGUCCAAGAAAGGGUUCUUGCCAGUUUUACAAGGUACGAGAUUGAGUAAGACUCAGUGCCCAGCAACUGAUGAAGAUAGAGAGCAUAUGCGCUCCGUCCCCUAUGCUUCAGCCAUAGGUUCUAUCAUGUAUGGGAUGCUGUGCACUAGACCGGAUGUUAGCCUGGCCAUAAGUAUGGCAGGUAGGUUCCAGAGUAAUCCAGGAGUGGAUCACUGGACAGCGGUCAAGAAUAUCCUGAAGUACCUGAAAAGGACUAAGGAGAUGUUUCUCGUCUAUGGAGGUGACGAAGAGCUCGCCGUAAAAGGUUACGUCGAUGCAAGCUUUGACACAGAUCCGGACGACUCUAAGUCGCAAACCGGAUACGUAUUUAUUCUUAAUGGGGGUGCAGUAAGCUGGUGCAGUUCCAAGCAAAGCGUCGUAGCAGAUUCUACAUGUGAAGCGGAGUACAUGGCUGCCUCGGAGGCGGCUAAGGAGGGUGUCUGGAUGAAGCAGUUCAUGACGGAUCUUGGAGUGGUGCCAAGUGCACUGGAUCCAAUAACCUUAUUCUAUGACAACACUGGUGCCAUUGCCUUAGCAAAGGAACCAAGGUUUCACAAGAAGACCAGACACAUCAAACGACGCUUCAACCUCAUCCGCGACUACGUCGAGGAGGAGGACGUAAAUAUAUGCAAAGUGCACAUGGAUCCUCUCCCUAUAGUGNNNNNNNNNNNNNNNNNNNNNNNNNNNNNNNNNNNNNNNNNNNNNNNNNNNNNNNNNNNNNNNNNNNNNNNNNNNNNNNNNNNNNNNNNNNNNNNNNNNNAUAGCCAGCCGAUGAUCCCCUCCACUCUCGUCUCGUCGCACACGCCGCUCCGUCCAUCACCUGGCUCGCCGUUGUCUUUGUGGUCUGCAGGCGAGGACGUGGAGCGCGCACAGGGCCCACGACAACGUCGCCAGGAGCCUCCGCGCCGUGGAGGCCGUCGUGCGGCACCUCGACGGCGUGCGCGAGGUACGUUCGAUGGGUUCUUCUGCCUUGCUUUCGAUCGGUUUGCUCGUCGCCGGCCGUCGUCCUGCGCCGCCGUCGCCGGCGGCGAUGGCGAUUUCGUCGUGGUGUCUGCUUCUAGACCGGGAGCAUGGGUCGACUAGUCGUGGGGUCCAACAGAGUCGUCCGCCCGCGUUGAUCCAUUCCACGGGCACGGACGCGCUAUUUCCGACGCCAAUCACCUGGCCUGGGCCGGCCCAGUACCAGUGUUUCUCGGCGCGAGGCCCAGAUAUGUGUCGGGCCGUCCCAGCGCGUCGUGCUGGGCCAAAUGCGUGAUCUGUUUCCCGUCGUCUCUCCCCACACCGGGCUCCGGCCCGGCCCCCAUUCCCCAGAUGGGUCGGAGCCGCCCCCUACUCCGGCGGGGCGGCGACGUGCGGGACGCGAGGGGUCNNNNNNNNNNNNNNNNNNNNNNNNNNNNNNNNNNNNNNNNNNNNNNNNNNNNNNNNNNNNNNNNNNNNNNNNNNNNNNNNNNNNNNNNNNNNNNNNNNNNGCUCGCGGCCAGGUAAACCCGCUGUCCCACGCCCGGACCUCGAGCCGAUCCGGUGGCCCGUCCUUUCCCCCGAUUCGCGUGCCGCUGCCGCAGAUCUGUGUCGCAUGUCGCUGUUUCCCGCCUGAUCCGUGUCCAAGCCCGCGUCGCGAUGCGCUGUGCGUGUGUAUGUUUGUCGAAUCGUGCUUGUUCAUACGGCUGGUUUACGAUUACCUCAAUAAAAAAAUGCGUCUGGUUUAGGUGCUGGGUAGGUUGGUGAGGCGUCCAGAUGGACCAGAUCCAUGCAUGCGAACCUAGGGCCGGCUCUGACGCCGUUGCAUGCCUGCGACGUUCGCCGGGGUCGUUAAUUGGCGAUGGGAAUGUCACCAAAAUAUUGUCUUAGCGGUCUAAUUCUGUUACUUUCUGGAUAAGGCCGCCUGAUUUCAUAUUUUGAAUAUGACACAUGUCUGCUGCGUCUAGGAUGUCUAUGCGGAUCAAGAAAGCAACAGAUUGUCUUAGUGGCCAGUGGGAGGUGUUUUUUUUUGUUUUCUGGCCUGCCAUGCUUUCCGGCCAUUAAUUUACACGCAUGUGAAUAGUUCCUUUACAGUUUAUAUGCCCCGCCUCUCCAUUGUGCAGUAGCAAUGGCGACAAAGUGCAUCAUCGGCGCGCUGAUCGGAUCCUUGGGCGUUGCGUACGUCUCCGACACGAUCGUUUCUGACAAGAAGAUCUUUGGAGGUGAGUAGUGCCAUGCUGUGUUACAUAUAUACAUGCCCUUAGGAUGCUUGUGCCUCACCUCUUGUAAGAAUUCAUAUAAUCUCUGCUUCUUACUUUUGAAAAUAGGGACUGUUUGCAAGACCGCGACCGACAAGGAGUGGUUUCAGGCCACGGACGCCAAGUUCCAGGCCUGGCCUCGCACCGCUGGGGGGAACCCCAUCAGCCGCCAGAACUUCAUCGUCAAGAACCCCUGAAUAGGUGGCACAAGCGGCAUCUUGCUCCCACCAUGGGAGCCCAAGUUUAGUUUCUUUUUUGGGUUUUGAAGUUCCUAAUAAAAGGGACUUGAAAGUCAGGGUCUACUCUUUUGUUUUACAAAUUUCAGUUUCCGUGAGCAACUUUGAGGUGCUUUACAGCUCGCUCGCUCGGAUUCGGAUUCGGGCCAGACGGAGGAAGUCUUUAUAAGAGCUUGCCGUGAUAAUGACUCUCCUAAAACCCUUAUUUGCGGUUAAUUGUUAAUUGGAUCUACACUUUUGUUGGAUCCACAUCUUUGAAAGAAGACUAGUUUGGGUCUUUCGAUGAACUCUGUUCCUCGAUGAAAUUAUCCACUAGACAGUAAAAUAACUGCAUUGUUGUUUCCGGACUGUCUUUCAUGUGUUGUGGUUCUUCCUGAUCUGAUGCUCCAAGUUUAUGCUGUGAUGUUAACGAGUCUAUUGUUUUUGACCCUUAGCAUGGUGGACUGGCGGUGCACUAUAAUUCUUUUUUGCUUGUGCUGCUAAUAUGCACAAUGGUAAACUAUUGUUUAGAAGAAUUCAUCAGCUGCUGUUCUGCUGCUGUUAUUUGCGAUGCUAAACCAUUAUUGACAAGCAUUCAUCUACUGCUGUUAGAUUGAAUAUCAUUCUGUGAUAUCCUGCUGAAAAUGCUGGACACAGCUUUAGUAUUGUAGCACAUCAAUGCCCACCGAAGCCCAACUAUGGCCCAACACUAGUACAGGUAUCUGUGAUCUUCAUAUUGUUUUUCGUUUUUGACAAGAACUGUGCGAGCAACAGAACUUUGUGUUGUGAGAAAGGUAACAUGAUGACCACAAGCCAUUCACAUGACCCAACGUUCUUGAUCAGCUGAAAUGGUUUACAUGCAGAUUUCUGUAAAAUUGGGAGAUGGUAACUGGAACAUCAGAUUUCAAAUUUGCUUGCUUCUAGAUGGAAAGCACAUGAAAGGGGCGAACAAAAUACAUGAUGACAAAAGGACAAAGCGAACAAAAAAUAACAGAAUUGACAUACUUUUGCCGCGAUUAUGCGCAUUCGCAAACCAUCAUAGUAAUUGGCAAGAAUAUAUCAGGGCAUAUCAUUUUUUUUAGGCUCAGCUGGAGUAUUGCAGUAAAUCAGUGCCCACUGAAGCCCAACUAUGGCCCAACAUUCGUACAAGUCUCUGUGCCUGUGAUCUUUGUAUUUACAGAAGCUAUUUUCCCUUCUUUGGCCAGAACUGUGCGAGCAACUGAGAAUUAAUUUGUGUUUUGAACAAUGUAACACAAUGGCCAUGAGCCGCUCAUGAAUCUGAAGUUAUUGAUCCGCCAAAAUAUUUUAAAUGCCAACAUUACAUCAGGCUCUUCUUCUUUUUUUUGCGGGGGAUUACAUCAGGCUCUUGACACAACGGAUUUCUGUAAAAUUAGGGGCAUGCAUAUAUGGAGCAGAUUAAAAUCUUUAUCUAAUAAUAAAGAGGCUAUCGCUUCCGUCGGAAAACCCAUCGAGGUGAUUUUACAAAAAAGUCCUUACUGUUUAUGACAUUAAACUCGUAGUAUAUAUUAAAAUAUAUUUUUAAAUACUCAUAUCUUUUAAACCGUAACUCCAAAUUAAACAUAUUAUACAUGGGAUUUGAUUAGAAAAAUAUGUAGAAUUUAAAUAUGAUAUUAUUUUAUCUGUUAAACAUUUAAUAAAAAUACUAUCUAGGGUGCAAUCUUAAUAAAUAAGUCAUUAUUCGUCUUUCUUUCAUACCGGUACUCAUCCGGGUUGGGGAUGAGCACGUCAACAAAAUCAAGAUUAGAGAUGAAAUUGAAGGUCACUUGACUGAUUCUUUGUACGUAUUAAAUCUACAUGCAAGCCGUGUUAAAAUAGAAGAUCUGUGAAAUUUUGAACUGCAUUUUUGUAGGAUAAGACCAUCUUUAUUUGUAUCGUAACUAUAAAUUUUCAAAUUAUAGACAUUUUUUAUAAAUUAAGAGCGUGUGUCGUGUGGUAUUUCUUUCUCCCGUUGCAACGCAUGGGCCCUUUUGCUAGUUAUGGUAAUAUGAGCAUCUGAAAGAUUUGCUUUGGGAUGUGAAGCACAUGAAAGGGGCCACACAUGAUGACAAACGGGCAAGCUAAAAAACGCGGAAUUGGAUGACUGUAGUACGUGAUGAGGCACAAUCAAACAAUGGCAAACAAAUCUUCAAUGAAAGUGGGCAGCUCCUCCAUACGUUGAUGGAGGGGAAGAUAAAAGCAAGGAUAUACUGUAUAUGAUAGGAAAUGAAAGUUUUCGCUGGAAAAAAAGAGGAAUUGUAGCUCAAAUGCAACACAGAACUUUUUAGUCGUCACAAGUUCGCAGGAAAAAAAGAUAGAACUGCAUCCUCACAAAAGUACUCAACAUAUGGCCCUAUAGUUUUGGUACAAUAUAUACAACAUAUCACUUGGUCCGCUAACAAAACCCCAUCUCGGAUCCUAUAUGGCGCGCCGACUAUUUCUCGCAUUAAGCGCCAACUUAGAAAGCACUCGCAGGAGGGUGUAGAGUAGUUGGGCCGGUCCAUUUUCGUGCACAAUGAAACGGGAGAGGACUCGCUACGAUGACCACUAUGACCAUGUCAUGCACACGAGUUGGUGCGAUGUGUACUUGAGGCAUUUGUAUAGUAAUAUUUUUUGGGUUUAAGUUGCACAGCAAACAGAACCACAACUAAAUAGGAUCGACGCACCAUUGCCAACACUGUCAACUGAUUAUUUAGUGGUACACUGAGCGGCAGCAAGAAGAAGGUACCGAAAAACUCGAAGUAUAGAACAUACAAGAAAGUAAGUGAACUAAUCCAUGCUUUACAUAUUUGGUCACUAUAGCCGUCAUAUGAAUAGAAAAUCAAAUGAAACUUACUUGCUUCCUCCUCUAGGUUCCAAUCAUCAUGGUCAUCAAACUCGAUAUUCUGCAUAGUGCAGCCAUAUGAGCCAUAUUUACAAUAUGAAAGACAAAGAAAUGAUGCAUCACUGGUCUAUCAUUUCAUAAUGGGCACCCUUUCAUAUUUGUCCAUGUGAAGGAACACAUAUACAUCAUAUAGUUUCCCGAAAAUCAUGAGGCUUUUAAAACACUUUUUUCUACCACAAAGAAUACCUCAGUGCAUAAAGAUUUGAAGUACUAAUCUAUUUAUAAUUUUCAUCCCAUCUUUCUUCAUCUUCCACUUCCCACUUUUCUUAUAUCACCGUCCUUUUUGAUCUUACCCUCUCCAUACUACUAAGUACCCAAUCUCUAUCAGCACAAUGACGUAAGCAUAAUCUCACUAUUUCCGUAAUGUGUAAUGUCAAACAGAGUAUAAGACUUCAAACCAGUUAUAUUGUAUCUACAUUACGAAGAUGUUUUCCAGACUGAUUCCAAUAACUCGAAAAUAAAACUAAAAGGUAAUGAUGUAUUUGCUUGAGCUUCCCUUCAAUUUUCUCAAAUAGUUCAAAUGACUGGCAAAUAAAGAUGGCAAGAUCCAUGAAAAGGAUCAAUGUAUGUACACCUAAAUAAUAUCUAGCCUAGAAGUGUUCGUUUAAGUUUCACUGCUUCCAUAGACAUGCCGAUAGGAUGGUGUAAACAAAAUAGUUUCCUUAAAAAAAGAUGCUAGAAGAUGUCAUAGGCAUGAACAGAGGUUUGUGACAGAAGAAGUUGUGAUUCUAGCAAACCUGCCACUCUAUCUCACCAAAGUUGCCUCCUAUUAGAAACAUUUCGGUAUCUUUGUCAUCAUUCUGCAUUUUUCAUUACAGCGGCUUCGUUGUCCCAUUCAUGCAGUUGCAUACGUCCAAGAAGGACGGAAAUAUCACAACCGUAGAAAGAAAAUGUCCGUCAGCAUCACAAUUCAAAUCUGAAGCGCAGAUAGUAGGAACAUGCUAGACAAUGUGCGUCAGCAUCACAAGACCAAACAAAAAGGCUGGAUGGAUAUGGUGGUAGUUUUAUCCACAUAAACCUGCACAAGAAGUGAAAGCAGAGGUUGAAUGUCGUGAGAACACAAACAUACAAGCACGAUCACCACACUUCAAGAUAAAAUUAAUUCAAGAAUGAAACCAGAUGCACGCGUGCGCAAACAGAACCUUUUAGAAGAGGAAUUGAGGAUCCCGAGGAGGGGGGCACGUGUCUGGCGGGGCUAUGCCAACUCUCGAUGUUCAACAGGUGCCACCAGAUCCCAUUCCCCAUGGUCAUCGGCCCCCAUUGUUGAAACAUGCCUAAUACUCAACACACGACGGUGGCCCAACUUGGCUCCCAAGCAAGCCCGGCAUGGCGAAGACCUGACAAUGCAUGCACGUCCGCAUGCCUCGGGAUCACUACCUACCUCGCACGCCAUCUGCCGAUCGCUGACCUGCUCCUUAGGGUUUCGGUUAGCUGCUGAUGAACUGCCCUGUAUAAGUACCGAUAGUAUAGAUUGAAUAAAUGUGUGCAGUCUCAAAACCUCUCUCUCAAAUAUUACAUGGUAUAAGUUUUCUUCUGAUCCUCUCGCUUCCGCUCUCCACCGCCGUCAUGGCUUCCCCCCGCUCCUCUCUCUCCGGUGAGGUCAAUCCCUUUCCCGUCCUCGAGCCUGCCUCUGCAGCUAGCCUUCGGCUCAUCCACAUCCAAGAUCACGUCCCCGUCGUCCUGGAUCUCCACACCCCUUCCUUCUCCACCUGGCGCACUUAUUUCUCGUUGACCUUCCGCGAAUUUCAAAUUCGGGAUCAUGUCGACGUCUCGAUUGACGCCCGCGUCAUGCGCGACGACGCCAACUGGAUGGGGGUCGACGCCACUAUCAUUAAGUGGCUAUACCGCACCGUCAGCAAAGAGAUCUUCUCGCACGUCACCCGCAACGACGACUCGACCCUCGAUGUUUCGACCUCCAUCUGCCAACUCUUCCUCGACAACCAGCUACAGCGCCAUGUGCUUCUCACGAACGAGUUCUACAGCCUCUCCCAGGACGGUAUGGGGCUCUUCGACUACUGCCUCCGCCUCAAGGUGCUCGCCGACGAGCUCCGAGACGUGGGCGCCCCGGUCUCCGACGCCACCAUGCUCACGAACACGAUCCGCGGGCUCGGUCCGGACUACGCCAACACUUCUUCCUACCUCAACCUCCUCACCGAGUCGAAGUUCGCCCGCGCCGUCAACUACCUGCGUCUUGAGGAGCGACGGAUGCGGCAGUCUUCUCUACAGCGGAACCAGUCUGCCCUCCCCGCACGCACCGCUUCACCAGCGCCUCCCGCGGCUCCUCCCGCGACACCCCCCGCGGCCGGCACCUCUCCACUCAGCCACGCCCGCAAGAAGAAGCGGGGCUCCGAUGGUCGCACGAGUACCGCCGGGUGUCCCUCCACGCCAUCCAGUCCCGCUCCUGCGCCCUGGUUCGGGGUGUCAAUCCCUGGACAGGUGUCGUUCAUGCGUGGGCCUUGCCGCCGGCGCGCGCGCCCCACCCUGGCAUCCUCGGCUCACGUCCCGUGAGCCACCAAGCUCUGCUGGCUGCCUCUCCGUCUUGUGGCUACCCACGCUGGCCCCCAACACAUGGCCGCGCGUGCCUCCUACGCACUGGCUCGGCAACUCCGGCGGGGCAUCCACCUCCUAUGAUCCCACGCUCCUGACGGCCCUACAUCAGGCUCCCUCGCCGGCCACCUACACCGGCAACCUCGACUGGUUCAUGGACACUGGCGCGUCCUCACACAUGGCCUCCCACCCUGGUAUCCUUUCCCAGUCUUAGCCCUUCCCUACGUCUACUCGCAUCGUGGUGGGUGAUGGCUCUUCUCUCCCCAUCACACACCGCGGUGAUCUCUCCCUCUCCUCCCACUCUCCCAUUAAACUCUAUGAUGUGCUUGUUUCUCCUCAGCUCAUUACUAACCUUGUUCUUCACGUGCACACGGCUGAACAAUUCAGCGACGUCAUGACCAAAGGGCUUCCACCGUCGGUGUUCUGGGAAUUUCGCUCCAGCCUCUGCAUCUCCGACGACGAGGGGGGGGGGGGGUGUUGAAACGGGCCUAAUACUCAGCCCACGCCAGUGGCCCAACUUGGCUCCCAAGCAAGCCCAGCAUGGCGAAGACCUGGCAACGCAUGCACGUCCGCAUGCAUGGGGAUCGCUACCCACCUCGCACGCCAUCUGCUGAUCGCUGAUCUGCUCCUCAGGGUUUCGGUUAGCUGCUGAUGAACUGCCCUGUAUAAGUACCGAUGGUAUAGAUUGAAUAAAUGUGUGCAGUCUCAAAACCUCUCUGUCAAAUCUUACACCCAUCACGCCGGGAGGGCAUGUCAUCCAGGGAGAUAGAUGAGAGGAGUGUGUCGUCGCCGCCAAUAUCACGUCGUGGUCAAUGCGAUAGAGAUGAUCGGGAAGCAAGGAUCUAGGGUUGCGGUUCCUCGACGACGACAAUGGGACGCUCGAACGAGUGGCGACCGAAAGCGGUGGGUGAAGAGGUCUAGGUGUGGAGGCUUGUGCAAUUAAUGGGGAGGGGAGGAACGCGAUUGUAGAUUGCAGGAGGAGGGUGCAGUUGCGACUUAUGAAGGCAUGAGGGGAUCUUGGGAGCGUGGGGCUCGUUGUUGUGCGUUCGAAUCCUGGGUGGCGUGUUUUUUGCCUUUUGUCAGGCUGGGAUGGGGGGCGAUCGUACGUGGGACUGGAGGUUGAAGAGUUUUUUUAUUAAACCGUCUGUUUUUCAAAGGGUUGAAAAAAACGAUGGGAGGUGGGAGGACGUGGGUGGGAGGAGGGGGAGAUCGAUCUGGGUUGAACCAUCACUAUAACGGCAGAUCCCCUUUAAUAGUAGAGAAGUAUGCUUGCACACUGAAUGUAACGAAGUGAUGGCUCGAUGAGACUCCUAGUUUCUUACUCACCAGCUUUCUGGUUGAUUGUCCUAGAACGGCAUUUUUAUGAGAAUUGUCCGAACAAGAAAAGAACCCAUGCACAAUACUGCUUUUUUUACGACGGUGCCGGUGCUUUACGGGACGUGCCAGCCUUAAUCCCUCAAACUAGUUUUAAGGGUUGAGAAUUUGCAUUUUUUGGCACUUUUAAGGGUUGAAAAACAGGGGCAAAGACUAGAACUCUCAAACCCAACCCUUAUAACAAAAACAGGGGCAAAAACAAAAGAGCUCAGGGCGGCGCGGCUGCCUCUGGCCCGCCNNNNNNNNNNNNNNNNNNNNNNNNNNNNNNNNNNNNNNNNNNNNNNNNNNNNNNNNNNNNNNNNNNNNNNNNNNNNNNNNNNNNNNNNNNNNNNNNNNNNGAUCAGAUUAUCUAUGAUAUAUAUUUGAGUCUUUGCUGAUUUCUUAUAUGCAUGAUUUGAUAUCCUUGUAAGUCUCUCCGAGUCUUGGGUUUUGUUUGGCCAACUAGAUCUAUGAUUCUUGCAAUGGGAGAAGUGCUUGGUUUUGGGUUCUACCAUGUGGUGACCUUUCCCAGUGACAGUAGGGGCACCAAGGCACACAUCAAGUAGUUGCCAUCAAGGGUAACAAGAUGGGGUUUUCAUCAUUGGUUUGAGAUUAUCCCUCUACAUCAUGUCAUCUUGCUUAAGGCGUUACUCUGUUCUUAUGGACUUAAUACACUAGAUGCAUGCUGGAUAGCGGUCGACCUGUGGAGUAACAGUAGUAGUUGCAGAAAGUAUCGGUCUACUUGUUUUGGACGUGAUGCCUAUAGAUAUAAUCAUUGCAUAGAUACCGUCACGACUUUGCGGUUCUAUCAAUUGCUCGAUAGUAAUUUGUUCACCCACCGUCUACUUGCUUUCAUGAGAGAAGCCAUUAGUAAACACUACGGCUCCCGGGUCUAUUCACAUCCAUCGUUUACACCUCUGCUUUUACUUUGCUUUGUUAGUUUGUUGCUUUCAGUUCUCACUUGGCAAACAAUCUAUAAGGGAUUGACAACCCCUUCAUAGCGUUGGGAGCAAGCUUUUGUGUUUGUGCAGGAUCUUGUGAUACUCCUCCACCGGAUUGAUACCUUGGUUCUCAAACUGAGGGAAAUACUUACCACCGCUGUGCUACAUCACCCUUUCCGCUUCGAGGAACACCAACGCAAGGCUCCAAGGCCACGGGGGAAAUCCUUUGCAUACUUUCCUAGGAAGUCCCUUAAGGCGUAGCCUCAUCUGAAGGAUUCCUGGUGUCGUCGACACGACUAUUUCUGGCGCCGUUGCAAGGGAAGCACAGCUGACAUCAGAAGUAUUUCCGGCGCCGUUGCCGGGGAGGAGAAAUCAAGAUCUAUCCAAGUAGGUCUCGUUUUCCUAUCCCCCACUUCACAUUUGCCGUUUUCAUUUGCCUUUUUUCGUUCGCCCUUUUCUCUCGCUUGCUUUCUGUUCGCUUGUGUGCCAUGUGCCUUCAAUAUGUUUGCAUCUUCGUUUGUUAAUCUCUUUAAGAGACCCACUUAUGUGGAACGAAUUGCUAGUGAGUUGAAGACACUUGACUAUCUUUAUGGAGUUUUGCUUGAGAGGCGUGAAUCUGAAAAUUGUGUGGAAGAAAAUUAUGAAGUGAUUCACGAGGGUUCCAUGGAUGAAAAGCAUGAUUGCAAUGGUUUCACUAUAAAUUCUAUUAGUGAUAAUUAUGCUAAAAUUAUGCAAAAACCCUAAGCUUGGGGAUGCUAGUUUUGCUUUGACCACUACUUGUUGCAAAGAUCAUGAUUGUGGUGAGGAUUUUUCUUCUGAUCUUGAAAAUUUGUUCAAGCCUCAAGAUGAAUAUGAUAUUUGCAAUAUUAUUGAAAGUGGGUUUGGAGAAGUCAUGACUUUAGAUGAUAAUCCCACUAUUUUUGAAGAGCGUCAACUUUGCAUGCAUGUGGAUCAUGAAAAGAAUAUCCUAUGGGAUAGCUAUAUUGUCGAAUUUGAAUAUGAUCCCACGUGUAAUUGCUAUGAGAGAGGAAAAUAUUUUGGUAGAAACUUUCAUGUUACCAAAUUACCUCUCGUUAUGUUGAGAUUGGUAUUGUCUCUUUCUUCUUCCUUGCAUAUGGCAGCUAUUGGUUGUCUUGACAAUUUGUUUUCCUAUAAAAUGCCUAUGCAUAGGAAGUAUGUUAGACUUAGAUGUGAUUUUCACAUGCUUUACGAUGCUCUCGUUGUGCUUCAAUUCUUGUCUUUUGUGAGAGCAUCAUUCAAUGCCUAGCUAAGGGCGUUAAACAAAAGCGCUUGUUGGGAGGCAACCCAACGAAUUUAUCCUUUUUCUUUCUGUUUUGUGUUUUCCACACUUUCAUAAUUCUGUUAUGAUUGUGUUUUUUGUGUUUCUUUUUGCGUUUGUGCCAAGCAAAACCGUUAUGAUUAGUCUUGGGGAUGAUCGUUUGGUCAUGCUGGAAAAGACAGAAACUUUCUGCUCACGAAAAUAAUUUUCAUUUGUUUUGUGUAAGAGAUUUUGAGUUGAUUCUUUUUGCUGAUGAUUUCUACGCAAAUUCUUCAGAUUGUCGUAAUUUUUCAGAAUUUCUGAAGUACCAGAGGUAUACGAAAUAUACAGAUUUCUACAGACUGGUCUGCUGUUAACAGAUUCUGUUUUUGUUGUGUUGGUUGCUUAUUUUGAUGAAACUAUAGAUAGUAUCGAGGGGUAUUAGCCAUGGAAGAUUUAAAAUACAGUAACCCAACAUCAGCACAAGUAGAGUUUAAGUUUGCUACAGUACCUAAGGAAGUGGUGGUUUGCUUUCUUGUACUAAUGUUAUCACGAGUUUCUGUUUAAGUUUCGUGUUGUGAAGUUUUCAAGUUUUGGGUGAAGUUCUUAUGGACAAAGAGAUAAAGAGUGGCAAGAGCUUAAGCUUGGGGAUGCCCAAGGCACCCCAAGAGAUUCUAGGAUGCCAUAAAAGCCUAAGCUUGGGGAUGCCCCGGGAAGGCAUCCCCUCUCUCGUCUUCAAUCCAUCGGUAACGUUACUUGGGGCUAUAUUUUUAUUCACCACAUGUUAUGUGUUUUUGCUUGGAGCGUCUUGUAUCGUAGGAGUCUUUUAUUUUUGUUGUGUCACAAUCAUCCUUGCUGCACACCUAGAGAGAGAGACAUGCACACACCGUGAUUUUGUCGAGCUUCACUUAUAUCUUUGGGGGGGGGGGGGGGCUAACAUGUGCUUCACUUAUAUCUUUUGAGCUAGAUACUUUUGCUCUAUGUGCUUCACUUAUAUCUUUUAGAGCACAGUGGUGCGUGGCUUGGUAGUUGAUCUAUGCUUUGAAAGUAGUCUCAAAAAGGGUAGUUAUCCAAAGGGAUACGAAAACUUCCACCUUCAUGUGCAUUGAAUAGUUAGAGAUGUUUGAUUCAUCUCAAUUAGUUUUGAGUUGUGGUUAUGGUAAUAUUGAAGUCAUGCUAGUAAGGUGUUGUGGAUCUAUAAAUACUUGUGUUGAAGUUAGUGAUUCCCGUAGCAUGCACGUAUGGUGAACCGCUAUGUGAUGAAAUCUGAGCAUGAUUAGUCUAUUGAUUGUCAUCCUUUGCGUGGCGGUCGGGACCGCGCGAUGGUUUAUACCUACCAACCCUUCCCCUAGGAGUAUGUGUUGAAUGCUUUGUUUCGAUUACUAAUAAAACUUUUACAACAAGUAUAUGAGUUCUUCAUGACUAAUGUUGAGUCCAUGGUUUAUAUGCACUUUCACUUUCCACCAUCACUAUCUUCUUAGUGUCGUGCAACUUUCGCCGGUGCACAAAACCCACCAUUUGCCUCCCUCAAAACAGCCACCAUACCUACCUACUAUGGCUUUUUCAAAGUCAUUCCGAGAUAUAUUGCCAUGCAACUACCACCAUGAGAUGUGCCUCCACGUCUACAUUGCCACUGCAUGAUCGUAAGAUAGCUAGCAUGAUGUUUCCAUUGAUGUCUAUGCCAUGCUAGAUCAUUGUCACGGUACCCUACCGAAGGCAUUCCAUAUAGAGUCAUAGUUGCUCUAAGUUUUGAGUUGAAAGUGUGAUGAUCAUAAUUAAUGGAGCAUUGUCCCAUGUGAGGAAAUAAAAGAGGCCAAAGAAGCCCACCAAAAUAAANNNNNNNNNNNNNNNNNNNNNNACAAAGAGCCCACCAAAAAAUGAAAAAAUGAGAGAAAAAGAGAGAAGGGACAAUGCUACCACUUUUUCCACACUUGUGCAAUUUAAGCACCAUGAUCUUCAUGAUUGAGAGUCUCUCGUUUUGUCACCACCAUAUAGCUAGUGGGAAUUUUUCAUUAUAUAACUUGGCUUGUAUAUUCCAAUGAUAGGCUUCCUCAAAAUUGCCUUAGGUCUUCGUGAGCAAGCAAGUUGGAUGCACACCCACUAGUUUUCUUUAAGAGCUUUCACAUACUCUUAGCUCUAGUGCAUCAUUUGUAUGGCAAUCCCUACUCAUUCACAUUGAUAUCUAUUGAUGAGAAUCUCCACAGCUCAUUGAUAUGCCUAGUUAAUGUGACUAUCUUCUCCUGUUUGUCUUGCAACCUCCACCACACUCCACACCAUCUAUAGUGCUAUAACCAUGGCUCACGCUCAUGUAUUGCGUGAGAGUUGAAAAGGUUUGAGAAAGUAAAGGUGUGAAACAAUUACUUGGCCAAUACCGAGGUUGUGCAUGAUUUAAAUUCGUUGUGCAAUGAUGAUAGAGCAUAGCCAGACUAUAUGCUUUUGUAGGGAUAACUUUCUUUUGGCCUUGUUAUUUUGAAAGUUCAUGAUUACCUUGCUAGUUUGCUUGAAUUAUUAUUGUUUCCACGUCAAUAGCAAACUAUUGUUUUCAAUCUAAUGGAUCUGAACAUUCACGUCACAUAAGAGGAAUUACAAAGGACAUCUAUGCUAGGUAGCAUGAAAGCAUCAAAAAUUCAUUCUUUAUCACUUCCCUACUCGAGGGCGAGCAGGAGUUAAGCCUGGGGAUGCUUGAUACGUCUCAAACGUAUCUAUAAUUUUUGAUGGUUUCAUGCUGUUAUCUUGUCUUCUUUGGAUGUUUUAUGUAUCUUUUUAUAUCUUUUUGGGACUAACUUAUUAAUUCAGUGCCAAGUGCUAGUUCCUGUUUUUUCUGUGUUUUUGACUCUUUUCAGAUCUGAUUUUGGAACGGAGUCCAAACAGAAUAAAAAACCCGAAAUGAUUUUUUCCCGAAUGGAAGAAGAUCAGGCGGCCUCUGGGCCAAGCCAGGUGGGCUCCAAGGAGCCCACAAGCUCCCACUCCGCCACCAGGGGGGAGGCGGUGGUGUGAGGGCUUGUGGCCUCCCUGGCCGCCCCCUGACCUAGAUCCUUGGCCUAUAUAUUCCCAAAUAUUUAGCAAAAAUCAGGGGAGCCUCGAAAAUACUUUUCCGCCGCCGCAAACUUCCGUUUCCGCGAGAUCUCAUCUGGAGACCCUUCCCGGCGCCCUGCCGGAGGGGACUUUGGAGUUGGAGGGCUUCUUCAUCAUCAUCAUCGCCCCUCCAAUGACUUGUGAGUAGUUCACUUCAGACCUACGGGUCCGUAGUUAGUAAUCUUCUUUGGCGGUGUAAUCUUGGAUCUUCAAUACAAAGUUCUCCAUGAUCUUCAUGGAGAUCUAUCCGAUGUAAUCUUCUUUGGCGGUGUGUUUGUCGAUAUCCGAUGAAUUGUGGAUUUGUGAUCAGAUUAUCUAUGAUAUAUAUUUGAGUCUUUGCUGAUUUCUUAUAUGCAUGAUUUGAUAUCCUUGUAAGUCUCUCCGAGUCUUGGGUUUUGUUUGGCCAACUAGAUCUAUGAUUCUUGCAAUGGGAGAAGUGCUUGGUUUUGGGUUCUACCAUGUGGUGACCUUUCCCAGUGACAGUAGGGGCACCAAGGCACACAUCAAGUAGUUGCCAUCAAGGGUAACAAGAUGGGGUUUUCAUCAUUUNNNNNNNNNNNNNNNNNNNNNNNNNNNNNNNNNNNNNNNNNNNNNNNNNNNNNNNNNNNNNNNNNNNNNNNNNNNNNNNNNNNNNNNNNNNNNNNNNNNNGCCUGAGAGCUCGCUGCCGCGCCGUGCCCGCAAGGUGUUCGGCAAAACGCCUACAAGGUAUGUAUUGCUUCAAACUUAUGAAUUUGGUGCAUGUUUUGAGUGAUAGUUUUUAUAGUAUAGUAUUGAACAUUGUAGAUGAGUUCGUCCGAAGAAGAGUUUGAUAUGGAAGAGGAGGAGGAUCUUGCAAUGAUAAUAGCUAUGCAUAUCAAUAAAAAACCGAAGCACGGUGGUUCGGUUAUGGGUCGGGAGAAAAUUUGGAGAGAUAGGAUUGAUGCCCAUAACAGAUUGAUGAAGAACUAUUUCGUGGAGAAUCCCACAUACCCGGAGUCGUAUUUUCGUCACGGUUUAGGAUGAGCACAGACUUGUUCAAGCGCAUUGCAGAGAAACUAGCGAGCCAUGACCGGUUUUUCCAACAAAGGAGGAAUGCCGCCGGAGAGCUUGGUUGUGUUUAUUGCAUUAUUUGUUGUAUUGAAGGAUAAACUAUUUGUUUGAGUUGUAAGACUAUUUAUUGUUGAUUUAUUUUGUUUGUUUGAUCGUUUUUGCGCCUAUUUUUUAAAAUUUAUAUGUGGUUUGUGCGUGCUGCGCGCGCUGCAUUUUUGGGCACUGCUGAAGCGGCGCGCGCGCUGCAUUAUAGCGCGGCUGCUGGAGCCAGCGUCUAACCCCGCGCUAAACCAGCCGAAGCGCGCGCUACAAACGCAUUUUUUGAGCGCGGCGCGAAGCGCUGCUGGUGGAGAUGCUCUUACUUCAGUCAAAAUUUACUAAAACAUGAAAGCUUUGCCCCUUCAUGAGCAAACUUGCCCCCUUUAUGCGUUCAUUCUGGCUCAACGGCAUAAACCGGGUGGCGAGCAGGCGUGAUCAAAUGGAUUAUUUCUGUCUAUACCUAAAUUAUGUUCCCUCUGUAAACCAAUACAAGACAUUCUAGGUCACUACUUUAGUCGAGCAUGGUAGUUUGGUGCAGGGGGAACUUGGCUGAUGAAUGAUGGUAGGCAUGAGGGAAUAAUCACGUACUAGCUCGUAGACAACACUAACUACUUGGCAUGGCCACCUAGCUAAUUUGUCUGUCAAUUUGCUGCCGUUAGGAUUCGUUUUCCCAUGAGAACUUUCGAAUAUUUGUCGCUACACGGCUUGCCAUUGCAAAAGAAUAGUUUUGGCUUUUCGGGAUCGCGAUAGUAAAGUAGGUUCCGCAUUUAGCCUUUUUCUUCUGGAAACUUACUCUUUGAUGCAUGAACCGCCAUUGUUGACCGAGUUCCCUGGCCUGAUGUGAGAGAGAAUGACAUGGACGGUAAUUUUCAGUUGCUAGACGGUGUGCACAAAACAUACACUUCAUUCUUUUAGCAUUUUCCCAUGUGGAUGCACAUGUGAGGUGAGGUGAGGUGAGCUGAUCUGAGUAUAGAUGUCAACCAUUCCACAUAUGCAUGACCAUACAUGGUUAUCCUAGCAAGACUCGCGGCCUCCUACACUUCUCUCUCGAUCGUGUGUCCUCUAGGAGACCCUAGAAGUAACGGUGAAAAAUAUAUAGUGGGUUCGUCCACAAGAGGUCCGGCGCCUUCCUAGUUCCUUCAUCCGUGAUCUCUCUUCCUUUAGUUAACCCUCAAGGAAGGAAGCAGCUCAUCAAAGUUGCUAAAGCCAGAGUCGCCCAACUUCCAAAUCACUUUACUUGAAGGGGUAUAAAGGUGCACCUCACUCUACUCUAGCUCUACCUAUGUGUAUGGAGUAGCACUUUUCCUCUGCCUUCAUCCAACAUAGCACGCGCCUGAAGCUAUACUCAACUUUAUUGCUAUCUGUGGGUAAACAAACAAGGGCAGUUUUACAUGUGAAAAGACGCAGUAAUUUGCAAAUAAUAAUCUCCACGGAUCUUUGUGUAAAAUCCAACGAUGUAGGAGUUAGACAAGGCCUGGUUAAUUCUUAUCUGCAUGAGAAUUAACAAAUACGAUUCUGUAUUAUUGUUUGACUGCGUAUAUCACAACAAUUAUCGAUCGGUAGUCCUAAAUAAGGAGCAGGGUAAAUCUAGGCAUACCCCGGACCGGGUUUCGGGCGGGCUUAAAGCCCGAACUGAAAAUCCCAAGUCCAAGCCCCGCUAGGUACGGCCAAAAAAUCGAAUAUUCAAGCUCGAACCUGGGCCAAAUUGACUAAAAAUAUAAUUUCAGGCCAAGCCUCUAUGUAAAAUGGCUAUUUUUCCAAGCCCGAGCCCAGUCCGAAAUACAGACCAGCCCUAGUUUUCAAGCUUGAGCCCGGCCCGGCCUGGGCUUUUUGGCCGGGCUCGGGCUGGGUCAUCGAGCCGGGCUGCCCAUGCCCAGGUUUAGAGCAGAGAGUAGAGCAGGCACAUAUAAAAGCUACUCCCUCCGUUCCUAAAUAUAAGUCUUUCUAGGGGUUUCAUUAAUAGACUACAUACGAAUGUAUAUAGACAUAUUUUAAAGUAUAGAUUCAUUCAUUUUGCUUCGUAUGUAGACAUUUAGUAAAAUAUCUUAAAAGACUUAUAUUUAUGUACGGAGGGAGUAGUUUAUUGCGGGCACGAUGCCAUCAUGCGUGGAUGGAUAUGUGCAGCCAAAUAUGCAAAUAUACAUCCCUGUCUCACAUUUACAAAUCUGUCUCGCAACUGCACCGGAGCGGCAUCACAGAGGGCGCGGGUGAGCGAAAGGGACUUGCAACAGAAAGGUUUAUAGCCAGCUGCUACAGCCUACCACCCCUUGUACUACUUCCAUUCUCUCUAUCGUCUACCACUGCUACGAGCUUAACCAUAUAUAGCCACCGACCAACCCUUCCCAUGUAAGCUUACCAGAUCAUUUGGUGCCAACGCAAAGCAUCCACCAACCACCGUCCACUAGGAGUGAGUAGACAGUGGAGUAGGUAACAAGGACUCUUGAUUUCAAGUCUCAGCAAAUAAACAUAGCAUGAACAUAUCUUGCAGAAACAUCUUAUAUUAUGGGGUACGGACGGAGUAGCUUGUAGUUAAGGUACAGAUACUACCAUACUGAACUGAAUUUGCGUGGUUAAAUUCAGAAUCAUGUCAAGCCACCAUGUGUACUGCAUCCACUGGUAAAGUAACUAGCUAGCUAGUUGGUCACUCUCUCAGAUUUCAAGUAUGCGGCCGUGACGACCGCUUGGCUUUCCACACGCACAGAGACGUGCCGUGCGUGAUGAAGAAUACACACGUACGCAAAAGGACCUUUAAAGUCAAAAAAUCAUAAAGUAGACAUGCGCAGAAAUUCAUGGCAAGAGGGCCCAAGAUAUCAUAUAUGAAGAAAAGAAAAAAUACACAUAGCGGCAGCUAGCGUCACAAUCAUCACCAUGUGUAUUUCGGUGACGUGCCCGGAUUCCCAGCCAAGCGAGCGCGCGACCAAUUGAUCAACCCAGCUAAUAACGUGCAAUCAGCUCACUGAUUAGGCAGGAGACCGGCAAGUACGUACACUGAUUGAGCAGCAGGAGUUCGUAGCUAGAACGUUUUUCCAAGGGAACACUUUGAGCUAAAAGCUAACACAAGAUCCAAGGGAAAGGUCCGAGCAAGACGAUCACGCCUCGUCGAUCUCUUCUCGCCUUUAUCAGGAAAACAUGUUCGGUUACGAAACUUACGAAAACGUCUUAUAUUAUGAGACGGAGACGAAUGAACCAAGGAAAAUUAUGGCGCUUUACUUGUGAACCAAGUACUAGGAGUACAAGUUAGUCAAAUGGAGCAGUACAAGUCAAGCCUUUAGGCAUGAACUUCCUUCCUCUCUCUCUCNNNNNNNNNNNNNNNCUCCAAUAUCUCCACCGUUCUUCACGUUUACUCCAUAUAUAUGGAUGUAUCCUUUCCCCCUUUUCAAUCAAUCAAUAAAUAUUCCCUUCCACUCCAAGCUAGGCUCCAGCACCAACCAAAUUCUAAUCUAAACAACAAGAAAAGCAGUAACCGAUCGAUCGAAGCUUCAGCCAAUUUUCAUCGAUUCAUGCUUUCUUUUCUUUAACCAGUCGAGAUCGAUUCUGCCGAAAAGAACGGCAAUCGAGCCCCAAAAGGAAGAGGAAGAAACUACGUCGGGCAAAAGAAAAAAAGAGAAGACGGAUGAGAUUCAGGAAGCUAUCCAAAACCAAAAGCAAUGAAUUUCUUGUCUGGACAAGUGGACAUGCAUGCACAUGGUUGAUCGAUGGAGCUCGAGCCGAACCGGAUCGAUCAGAUGUCGACGGCGCAGGCGGCGGCCUGCUGGAAGCGGAAGUAGUCGGGGCCGCCGCCGGUUGUGGCGCCGUAGCUGCCCUUUCCCUCGUUCACCCUGAUGAGGGCCGGGCAGUUGACCCGGAGGUGGUAGUGGCCGGAGAUCCACGUGCCCACCUUCCACCGCACCCAGCCGUCGACGCGCACGUCCACCAGCACGUACCCGGCCGUCUCGUCCUGCGCGAGCGCGAUGGCGAGCUGCGGCGGGAGCACGACGCUGUCCAUGGAUCGGAGGUAGGGCGACCACACCGACUGGUCCCGGUGGCCCUGGUAGGCGACGGGGAGGCGGGUGGGCACGGGGAUGGCCCCGCCCCUGUACUGCGCGGACAUUUCCGUCUCGUCGGAGUAGACGCCGACGCGGGCGUUGGUGUUGCGCGCCGCCACCGUGGCCUGCAUGGUGGUGAAGAGGUAGGCGGAGGUGGGCGGGGUGACGUUGAGGCAGAGCACCGCCAGGUCCUGCAGGUAGAAGGUGGGCUUGUGGGGGCGGAGCACCAGGUAGACGAUGAGGAUGAUGAAGAGGGCGAGGAGGACGAGGGCGAGCAGCGCGCCGCAGCACUUGCGGUAGAGCCGGCGGCGGUGGCACUCGCAGCCGCCCUUGUGCCCGCCGCAGUCCUUCACCGCCAUGGAUUAUGGAUAUGGAUGGUGGUCGNU